UGGUGGCUUACCCCCUAACCUGAUCCUCAUCAAAUUUACCUAAUCUUAAUUAAGCACGACGGAAAAUGCAGCCUAUCUACUUGCUAACCUAAUCCUCUCUUAAUUAUUAACCUAAUAACAAAGCUGGCUGCCCUUUAAGUUUACGCAUCUAUACAUAAUUUAGGGUUUUGAAGACUUAAAAGUAUGAUCGAACGGCUCAUAGUGGUUUUAAAAUGUAUUUCUCUUCAUUUCAUCACUUUAAUUUUGACCAUGUAGAUGAUAAUUAUACAGUCCCGAUCUCUUGGACUACAGGGGUCUAAGAGAUUUAUGGUCACUCACUGUUGGAUAUAAAUUCAACGGUUCACUCACUCUUGCACUGUUUUUAAGAAACUUUUUUGAACCAUUUGGAUUAAUAUCCAACGGUGAGUGACCACAAUAUCUUGAACUCCUGUGGUCCAAGAGAUCGGAAUUCGAUAUUAUAAACUGCAAAUAGUACAUAUACUGUACAUACCAAAAACAUGAUGUAUUUAAUACGUAGUCAGUCAGUCCUUCUGUGGUUUGAGUACUGAAGUAGAUUUCUGGAUUGAAUGUUAGAUGUACAGGGGCGUGAAUGAUAAUGCACAUUCUCAAGAUCAUAGCAGUAAUGUCUUCUCCAUUUUCUCACCUCAAACUCAAACUCAAAGGUAAGGCAGUAAUGUCUUCUCCAUAUAUAUAUAUGAUCUCUCUUCUUUAUUUAUUUAUUUGGUCUUUUAAAUGAUCUCUCUGUUCGCAAGAAAGAAAUCAAAAGAUUAGAAGCAUAACAAAGCACCAUGCAUUCUCUAGCUUUAAUUUUUCAAGUUAAUCAAUGAAAACGUUUCUGUUUUGUUUUUCCUCUCUCUCUCUCUGUCUCUCUCUCUCUCGACCUCUGCAGGCCAUCAGAAAAUUAUUAUUUAAGAUAUGAGCCGCAUGUAAUGUUUUCUGAAACGGAUGAGGAAACAAAAGGACGUAUAUUAACACGAGAGGAAGCUGCAGGCAAGCAACAAAAUCAGGUACUUCAAGCACAGAAGUAUCAUUUGCACCAAACCAGUUUUGAGAAGGUGAUCUGUCGUGGUCUGCAACUGAUAUGUCGUAAUAAUUAAACUUUUUCUUUUUGGGGGGGUACAAGGUUGUGUUACAAAAUUCACCUGUUGCAUUCACAACUUUAAGUUCCCCCGUUAUACAUAUAUUGCUUACAGAUCAAGUAAUUAAUAACUCACAUUUUCUUUACAGAAUGCUCAUACCCCAGAACUCAGCAGAUUGUCUAUGGAUGAAGAAACUUGUCAACUAUAUGGAUUUUCUGAGCUCUCAUUAUCGUUUAAUCCGACUGUUACUACCAUGGCGCAGUUCCGAAAAGAAAGCAAGUUGUGGCCUUCUGCUGAUGAACACAAUACUUCUCAGUCCAGCUCAACUGGAAAUUUCAGUAACAUUCAGGAUUUCCAAGAGGUUGGAAGCAAUGAUAUAAACUUGGACUUAACCAUUUGAACAUUGUUUCUUCCACUGUAGGAUUAGAAUUAUAAGUAUAAAUCCUUGUUUUCAUUAUUAAAAAUUGGUCCACUGUACAAUAACUUAAUUAAUAUCAAUCAAAUACGAACAUUAUAGAUGUUCAAUUUUGGUCUCAAUCUUGCACAUUAUGAUAAAAUGACUUUGACCAAAUGCUUCAAGGACAAAUGUAUAUCAUGUUUCUUGAACUUCAUUGUUCUGUUGCUAUUGGUUUUUAUUUAUUUAUUUACAGGGAUACACAAUUGUUAUACAAUAUUUCGUGGGAGCAAGUGUUUCCCUACUUAUAAAACUAUACAUAUUUUCUAAGCUGAAACAGGAACUAUAUACAUAUAUGGCUCCAGAAAUAACACCGCCACUUCUUUACCAGCACAUUACAUGAAGGCUCAGCUGUACAUGACUGGUAAGGCGGUGGGAAGAACACAAGUGCUUGCCGCUUCCCGGCUCAAAACGCUGAGAUAAAAAAAUAAAAAAAUAAAAAAUAACAAUUUCAGUUCCAUCCCAAGCACAGAAGUAAGAUCAACAAAGAAAUUGAUUUGACUCAGGAUCAAGAACCCAGUUAAUAUUACUAUGGUUCAGCUGUGUUCUAAAAUCACAAGAAACGGUUCCUGAACAUCUACUAUAUCUUUAGAUUCGCACUGCAUCAGAAACCAUGUCGUGUGCUCAGCAUAUUGAUCUAUUCUGUAUACCAUUUGCAUGCUAAGAGGAGGCGGGGGUGUACAAGAACAGUUGAGGACAUAUCGUACAUCCAGAUAACCACAGAUAGGUGUAGAUCUUCAGUCACUUCUUAAGCCACUGUCACCCAUCAAUAGAAUCUUUCACUGACUCUUUGCUAAUGUCUUCUUCAAUCCCUUGAAAAUCUUGCCAAACCACAUCACAUUCAUGACCGCUAGGAUUGGUGGCACUCCGAAAGCUAAAAAUUUCCCAAUGAUGUGCAUUUGCUUAACCUGUUAAGCAAGCACAUGUAGGCUGAAUAUACUUGUUUCUUGCUGUGUCUCACAAGCUAAUAAAAUAAUCAAUUUGAAAAUUAAGACAUAGAUAUUAUAGGUCAGGCUGGUCAGCAGACCAGCUCCACAGCACCUCAGAAUUUAAUCAAAUUAAGUUCUUGCUGGUGUGGAAGUUACCUGUUGAUAGUGCAAGUACAGAUGGUAGAACAGAUACAUGAACAGGAGUAUUCUUGCAACCUGCACAGAAUAAUAAAAAGCAUGUAUAAUAUCAAUGGUAGAAGAAAAGUUGAAUCUAGAAAGAUUUUGUCAAACGGCUCUUCCCUUAGUAAAGUAACGCAGAAAAUAAAAUUAGAGAAAAGGAAAAGAUUUAAAUUUGUGCAAAAAUUGGGAAUAGAUUUGACUCACCAACCAAGCAAUGAAAAUUACAACCCCAUUAAUCAAAUAUGUUCUAGACCCCUUCAUUCCAGUCGUGUCAAGAUACCUUCACAAGACCACUAUUCAUCAACAAUAAUGGACAGAAUCAUAGAUUUUAGAAAGGCAUUUUAGUAAGAGAUGAAUACCAUCUCAAGUUGAUACCAGGGGUGGUUGUCUCAGAGAUAAGAACCAUGUAGGUAUAAAGCUGUCCCUCCCCAGUCAACAUAGCAUAUGCUACUGAUGCUACAGAAAGAAGAUGAUGAACCACCUAAAAGAUUAACAUGAUCACAGUUAAUUUGACCAAUAUCAAGGUUAUUCACUUCAUAUACUACAACUUCCACCUAGGCUUGUGCAACACGGAUAACAAAAUUCAGCCCAAUAACAAACAAUUCAAAACAGAAUGCACUUACAUACUCCAGUCCACCAAGAGCAGGGUAAAACCAAAAGAUCAUCCCAAGGUCGGUUAGAAAGUACCCAACUGAGACCUGCCAAAAUGACACCAGAAAAAGGUACCAUAUCAUCCUUUAGCAUUAUGCAUCACUCCUAUUAUUGGCUUCUCUAAUGUCUACAUUACUACUCACACGAUUGGCUUCAAUUUAUAUCAUGACUUGAAGAUGAGAAUGCAUUUACUUACUGAUUUGCUAGGCAUAUCUAUUUAGUUCAAUAUUACUUGGAAAUUUACACAUGCAAGAAGAUCCCAUAUUUAAAGCAUAAUCAAGCUUAAACAUGAAAUAUAGAAACCUAGUAUCAUAUUCAAGCUUCAACAUGCAAAUGUCCAGAAGUCAAUAACACCUUAAAACAGAGCAGAUACAAGAAUUUCAAAUAAGUCUGAAACAAAGGGAAUGGGAAACAUCAUUACCCCCAAGGCAAAUGUAGACAGCGGGGAGCUCUGCAACGUAACAAAAGCGUUGAGCUGUUGGUCAGAAUAAAGAUCUGACCAAAACACCAAGUACAAUGACAUAGCUGUGAUAAAAAGGGCAUGGACAGUUGAGAUUGCCCUGUAUAAACAGGUUAACAGAACACAAAACAUAUGGGUUUGAGUGAAUGAACAAAACGGAACAAGAAAGAACAAGUAAUUUAGAAGAGGCUGAAAAAUCACCGAUUAUUCCACUCAAUGCGUUGCAUCUUUGAAAGGUUGGAAUAGCUCUUAAAGUAAGCAGCACUUAGCAAGUGGUUGAGAUCAUAAACCUGAAAAGAAAAAGAAAAAAAAAGGAAUUGAAGAGAAAGAUACUAUCUUUAUACAAUAUAUGCUUCAAAGGUAUAUAUUAGUAAAAGGGUAAGAAAGAGAGAGAGAGAGAGAGAGAGAGAGAGAGAGAGAGAGAGAGAGAGAGAGAGAGAGAGAGAGAGAGAGAGAGAGAGAGAGAGAGAGAGAGAGAGAGAGAGAGAGAGAGAGAGACACGCCAUACCAAUUUGCAGGCGAACAUACCCACGAGCAUAGAUAUAUAUGGGACAAAAGGGUGCGGGAGUAGGAAUUGCUUAAGCAACAUGUCGUAGGAUUCGUAGGAUUGGAUUGCCAUUCAGAAACACCAAAAUCACAGCAACCCAAAAGCUCUAACGCUCUGAAAUUGAUAUGGAGGACGAAUUCCGAGCAUCAAUCAGCAAAAACGUCACCUUUACUAUAAAAAGUCGAUGAAAAAUUGAUAAUUUCUGAGAGAGAAUUGAAAAGGGUCGACGAGUUUUGGAGAGAAAGGUGUGUAGGAGAAAGUUGAAGGUGAAAAUGGAGAGAGAUAGGGAGAGAGGGAGAGAGGGAGGGUGGUUUUAGGCGUUUUGGUUUGUUCGAGGCUUUGGAGCAGAGCCAGAAAGAAGGGUGACAGAAAAUGCGAGAAACCAGUGGCAAGUAAAAGACGAGACGACCCAAUUAGGCUUCGGGCCCAAGCAAGCUGAUGAAUCGUUGCGCAAGGCAACGCAACUUAUCAUGCGAAACUUCCAGAACCCAAAGAAAAGAACAAUGAACAAUAAAUAUUCGACGUUUUCUUUUCGUUUUUUAAUGAAAAGUUUUUCUUUUCAUCCAACCAAAAAGAAAAAAAAAAGGUUAAGAAGAAAUUAUUUGGGGGAAAUUGAUGGGCCCUUCAUUGCAGUUGAUGAGUCUAUUCUAAAAUGGCCUACCACACUUUGCUCACGUGGAUCCAUCCUUAUUAUUUGUCCACGUGGACAAUAUAAUAAGCUUGCUUCCAUCAUUGGUUUACAUUAAUGAAUAAUUAUCAGCUAUUGAUUAAUGUGAGAUUAUUAUGAAAUAACUGAAAUAUGUGCAAAUAUUGAGCUGCAUGUAAAAUAGAUGAGACACAACAUUUAAUGAGGUUCGGCCAUGCCUUCAUUUUCGGAGAGCAGCAACAGUAACUUUUUUACUAUGUAAAAUAAUAGGACUACAACUUUAGUAUUUACAAUAUAUGUGGCUCACUGAUUUUUCUCUCUUGGAGAAUUUCUCUAUGCUCUCUUUUCUCUCCACUCACUCACUCUAUUUCUUCAUUCUCUCCUUUCUCUCUGAGCUCUCUCUCUUCCUUACAUGAUGGUGGUGUGUAGUGCAAAAGAAGGGGGGAAGCCUUAUUUAUAGGCAGAAUUUUGUGGAUGCUUAUUCAUUUUGCUUUGGCUUCACGUGGGUGUUGGCAAGCAUCAUCAUUACCAUUUUGGGCUUCACAUUCUUGACUUUACAACACUCCCCCUUGGAGACCACAAAUGAUAUGUUAGUUGCAUCAUUAAAGACUUGCUUGGAGAGAAACCCAGCGAGGUAGAAAACUUAUGGAUGGAAGAAGAUUACAGUAAUCAGUGUAGCAUACUUCUGGAUGCUCCCCCUGAUGUCUUCAUGACUAUCUUUUGGAGCGAGAAUCUUUCAAAGUGAUUGGAGGAUGUAGCCAUCAACUAUUCAUAUAGUUGAGUAAGUAAAUAUAUUUUCAGUGAGCUAUCUUUAUAUGGAAAAUAUAAUAUCCGGUCCAGUAUACUUUCGGAAAAUUAUUUAAGUGCCCAACGGAUAAUCCACAUAAAAAUGCUUCAGUACUUUCUCAGUAUAAGCAAGAAUCUCGUUGGCAUAAUGCUCGAUCUUAAGGCCGAGACAAAUAUUUCUUGAACUCUUGUUUUAACAAAGUAUUAACUCUUCAGGAGUUUUGAUAAAUUAUCAACUCUUUAAAAGUUAUAAUGUGUUGCAACCUUAUCUUAAUAAAUGUACUCAAGGAGGCAAUUUGUACAUAUUAGUAUUGAGUACAAGAUUUGUGCUUCAGGCACAUGUCUACAAACUUGCUUUAUGCAAUUUCAAUCAUUUAAUUAUUUUAUUUAAGGGAUUACACUUUAUGACACAUUAUAUAGCUUUAACUCAGCUAUUUAUACAUCUUUAGGGAAUCAUUUCUGGCGAUUUAUUCCGUGCAUUUAAUAACCCUUAAAGAUAACAUGUUGGUCUCCGUAAAUGUGCAAUAAGGAGGUACGAUUGCAUAUAUAAAUAUGGAGAAACCUAACAUUCCUUGUUUCUGUCAGAAACAUUGUGUCAUACAAAAUGGGUAUAUUCCCUUUUAUUCCGAACACCCAAGUAUAACUUUCAGUAUUAACAUUUUUUUUGGGGUUUGUACUACAGGUUUGUUCUUUCACGUUCAUUCUCAUCUAUAACGGAAUUGCCUCUUUUCAUUUUGACAAAUGAUAUUGUCGACAAUAGAACAUGGUUCCAAUCAACACAGCCCAUUGAUGAUUUGAAUAGCUACUCCAAAACCAAAAAUUGUCAUUCAUCAAUUCAUGAUCCCACCAUUCUCAUGUGCAUGCACAUGCAUCAAUUAUAAGCAUUUAUUUGCUUUUGGGUACCCAAGUCACUUCAGGGAGCUUUUAUUGUCUCUUUCCAGAUAGACAUCUUUUAUAAGAUGAAUUAUGUGAGAAUAUGGAUCAUAACCUCCAAUGGAGCGUUAUUUUACAGUAGGGCGUGGAUAAUCUCCAUUUAGGAAGUUGAAACAUUUAGAACCCAUAUAUCUGUCAUGCUGCGGGCAUGCCAUAGAUUAAUACAUACAUGUCAAUUAAUUUAUAGGACUUUAAACCAUAUAAUUUGCUACGCAUUAGGCGUGCACCAUAUCAAUAUUGACAUGUUAAAGGAUUGUCCUUCCGGGACUUCAAUCCAUAUCACUUGCUACGCAACAGACGUGCAUCAUAUUGAUCACUGAUAUACCCAUAUUUUUUUCUUAUGGGAUUUUAAUCUAUGCAGUGUAUCAUUAAUGUAUUCAUCUUGCAAUCUGUGAAAUUUGCAUUAAUAAUUCAUGAAUGCAUAUCAGAAUGAUACAAGUCAUUCUUCUGGAACGGUCAUAAUACAAGUCGUUCUUCUGGAACGAUCUAUAAUGCAAGUCAUUCUUCUGGACGGUCAUUUGCAUGGCGUUCUUCAAGAACGGCCUUAUCUCCCCAUUUGGUUACCUUUAAGGAUGCUGUACAAAAUAUCAAAAUAAGAAUACAAGUAUGAAAUAAUAUAAGUAUCGCUUAUAUCCUUAGGCGGGAGAGACUUUGCUCAAAUAUCUUCAAAGCUCGUAUCGGCUUAGCAAAUACAAUGUAAUGCUUGAUGAUCUAGUUAUAUCUUGCAAGAGCAAAAAUCACAAUUCUUCUCUUUGUCAAAAACAAAUAACCCUCAGAGUUAGGAUCACUUCAUGGAUUCUUUCUUCGGAUGUUUGUUCUAAAGGAAUCAAAUCCUUAUGAAUAGAGAGUUAUAAAAAGAAAGAAAAGAUACAAAAAUUGUGAUAUUGAUUGCAAGGUAAGGUAAGCAAUCAAGGGAGGAAGCUGAUGAAAGCAGACAACAAACUCUCAUUUCUCCUAGUCUAGAAGAACUCCAGGAGAUCAGAGCAUGUGAUCGUCAUUACAGUUCCCCGAUGUAGCGGAAACAUGAUCAGGGAUAGUCUCGCUUCUUGAAUUGCUGAUCAGAGAUAGUCUUGCUUCUCAAGCACAUCGAGUGCUCACUGAUAAGAAAAACAUGUGAUAUUGCAUCACUAGAUAUGGAGAAAACUGGAUGUCUUCUGCAAAGAAAAUUUCGUUAGUAACAUAUUUAUACACAAAUAAGAGGAAUAGGUAUAUCCAAUGAAUUUCAGAUUAACCACAAAAAUUCGCGAGAUUCUCGGGGUGCUUUUGAAAAAGUAGCUCUGUGAAAUCCGCAAAGCAAGAUUGGCUUUGACGAAAAUAAUCCUUGAGAACACUGAAAGUGCCGACAAACAUUAAUGGAGGCUGCGUGAAGUUUUGGAAUCUGGGAAAGAAAAAAGAGAAUAUGGGGAUCGGAGAUAAUAUUGGGAUCUGGGAAACCGUUGCCAUAUUUCCGCAUAUAGAUAUUGCCUAUGCAAGACCUGAUUGGAGUAACUGCGUUUCAACUCAACUUUCUUACAUUUUCUGAAAAUUCAGCUUCUCUUAAAACUUUCCUUGAAACAUUCUUAAAAAUGGCUUCCUCUUCUUCUUACCCAAACCAUCUUGAUUUAAAUGUUGCUCCUAACAUAACUCAUGACGCCAAAGUUUGGUGUCCAUCCUUCGUAUCCCAAAAUCGUCAUCUCAUGGUUAAUGAUUCUGUGAUGAUGAAUGAUGCGACUGCUGUCAUAAUAGCUAGGAAUUUCCUUAUUCCAAUGGAUGAAAUGCUGUUAUUAGUGAGGUCUGAUGAAGAGGCUAUUGAUGACUCAAUGGCUUUUAGCAUUCAGAGUGCUGCUUCUGUUUCUAACAUGGCUGAUCGUUUGUGUGCUAGAGCAAACGAGGUUCAGGAGCUGACCACUGAAAAUUCAUCUCUUCAGAGAAUGCUUCAUGAGUUUCAACAAGAGGUUGAGAAACUUAAAGAGGAAAAUAAUGCCUUGUUGAAACUGGUGAGUUUGUACUCUAUUGAUACGUUGAGAAGGUUAGAUAUGCUGCAGGUUUCCAAUGAAAAGAUUCUGGGAGACCACGAGAGGCUCAUGGCUAAGCUUAAGAUGCGCCGUCAUCUUCCUUCAGAGGCUUCCAAAACAUAAUGUAAUUUUAUAGAUUUUGCAAAGCCUGCUUUUCCUUACAGGUGGAAAAACUCUAUCUGUUGUAUACUCCUUUUCUGUUAUAAUAAUUGCGCAAAUUCUUAAACUUGCACAUGUGGUUUUACGUCUUUUCAAAAUGACAGUUUGGAACAUUGUGCCUUAUAGGUUCAAGUAACCACAUCAAAUCUCUCAAAUUACAUAUUUCAAUGCAUGUGAGUCCGGAACUUCUGGCCUGGGCUAAACACAACCUCAUAAUUCAUUUGCCUUUUUUAGAUAGGCACGAAAUAUGAAUUGAGGAAAAUCAUGACAAUAUUGCAAUAUAGUAGUGAAGAGCAUUAACUACUACAUACCUAAAAUUUCAGAUUCGGAAUUUUCUCAUAUAUUUGGGUUCAUGGGUUUCCGGCCCAGAUCAUAUAAUAUAACAAAAAAUAUGGAGAGCCUCAAUUCAUCAUUUGAGGUUUAUCCUGAUAUUAUCUAUUUCACGGUGUAUUCUUAACAACCGGAAUUCACAAAAUAUAUUUCUUCCUUGAGGUGUCGAUUAUAACAGAAUUGAACUUUAUUAAAUUCAUCAUUUUCUUAUGCCAAAGAAAUAUGUGGUGUACCACAAAUUGAAAUAAUACCUCAAGGGUUGUUCAUUUAACUAUUGGAACUUUCAGGUUCUCAAUAUUGUCAAAUUUUGAACUUAGGGCUAAAAUCACAUAUUCUCAUGGUAUGGACAUUUUUAUAAUUUUUUGUACAUAUUUCGAGACUUCAAGCCCUUACAUAAUUGUCUAUAUUUUGAGGAACUUCUGGCAUCUCAUUUAAUUGCUCAUCCAUGAGUUUAAGGAACUGCAGGUUCCCUUUUGUACAUAGUGACUGUUUACCCAAAAUGGUUAAUAUUUAUGCAUACGUCACUAUUCAUGCAUAUAGUACUAUUCAUCAAAUCAUGAAUACGUAUCUAUUCAUGUGUACAGUACAUUUGCCAGUACAAUUAUUAUUCAUGUGUAUGACACUUUUAACCAAUACGGUACUGUUAUAUCAUCAAGGAACUUUAGGUCCUUAUUUACAUGUCAAGGAUCAAGGAUCUUCAAGUCCGAUCUCUUGUUUACAAGUAUAGUACCGAAGAGACUGCUAGCUCUCAUAUCAAUAUCAUCAUCAAGGAUCUUCAAAUCCUGAUGUAGUUAUAUGAUGAAGAUCAAGGAACUUCUGGUUUUGAUCUGUAUGCUGUAAAAACUUAUCAUACCGCACAAUUAAUCUAUAAAAUAAAUUACGGGUAUGGACGAUAAAUCCACACCAUACUUUAAAUAAAUGUAAAUAUGCAGUAAAAUAAAUUCAUAAAGUAAAUGUGCUUGUAUGGGCACUAAUUCGACUCCAUACUUUUAAAUAAAAGUAAAGGCAGUUAUGUAGACGAUAAACCCGCUCCACUCUUUUAAAUAAAUGCUAUUGUAUGAGUAAUAAACCUACAUCAUACAUCAAAUAAAAUAACUGUGGGAAUAAAACCACCACUGAAUAAGAUAAGAAAAGUGUUAGUAUUGCUAACGGCCUCCUACUAAUAAUAUGUUUAGUAUUAUCAAGGGUCCAUUUUUAUUUGUGGUUAGUAAUAGAAAAGCAAAUAAAUAUAGUAUAUUAUAUUACCAUUUUUUAACAUAAUAUGUUAUAUCAAGACCAAAAUAGUUAAUGAUGCUUUAAUAUAAUAUAUAAAGUAACCAUGUAUCAAAAUGAAUCAUGGCCGACAAUGAUAUUGAAGUGAUCAUUGCAUAUGUGCAUGUCUUCAACUUAGUUGCUUUCACUCCUGCCAUUUGUACUCAAACUGUUUGUACAGUCAGCAUAUAUAGAAAGUAGCAUUGAAUAAUGUAAAGUAUUAAUAAAAGAAGAAGAUGAAAAGAGUGCUUAUCAUGUUUUGGUGGGUUUGCUCAUAUAUCUCUCUAGCAGACCACAACAAUGGUUAGUAGUAUAAAUAAUAGUGCAACACAAAAAUUAUACCUGAGAGCUUCUCGUGCUGAUAACGUUUUAUGAAAUAAUUGAAAUAUGUGCGAAUAUUGAGCUGCAUAUAAAGUAGAUGAGACAUAACAUUUAACGAGGUUUGGCUAUGUCUAUGUCUUUGGAGAGCAGUAGCAGUAACUUUUUCACUAUGUAAAAUAAUAUGGCUACAACUUUAGUGUUUACAAUAUAUGUGGCUCACUGAUUUUUCUUUCUUGGAGAAUUUCUCCCUGCUCUCUUUUCUUUCCACUCACUCACCCUAUUUCUUCAUUCUCUUCUUUCUUUCUGAGCUCUCUCUCCUCCUUACAUGACGGUGGCGUGUAGUGCAAAGGAAGGGGGGAAGCCUUAUUUAUAGGCAGAAUUUUGUGGCUGCUUAUUCAUUUUUCUUUGGCUUCACAUGGGUGUUGGCAAGCAUCAUCAUUACCAUUUUGGGCUCCACAUUCUUGACUUUACAACAGAGAUCAAUUGUUAAAGAUACAUUUAUUCUUGUGAGCCUGUUAAGGUUAAUCGUUAAUGCAGGAAUGAGCAAUUUCUAACUAUAGAUGUGCAUAAGAUGGUUCAAUAAGAAGCUACUUUCAUAUAUUUGUUCGCACGAGCAAAGACAACUAGGCUUAGCUGCUAAAAUAUGAACAUGGUUUGAAUAUUUUAGGUUAAUUGUAUUCUUCUCCAUAAUGAGAGAGAGAGAGAGAUAUAUAUAUAUAUAGGAAUUUACAAUGGUACUUUAGAUAUUCUCCUAAUUAUAUAAGGAUAUGUAAAUUAUAUAAAAUAAGAAAGUAAAUUACCUAAUUAACUUAGGAAAUAAAUCUCCUUGAUUUAGUAGAUUAACUCACGUCAAUACUCCUCUUCAAGUUGGUGCAUACACGUCACCAACGCCCAACUUGAUAAGUGAGUCAUAAAACACUCAUCCACAUACAUCUUUUGUUAAAACAUCCGAUAAUUGAUCUUCUAAUUUUACAAAGGGUAGACAGAUGAUCUUGUUCUGAAUUUUUUCUUUGAUGAAAUGUCUAUCCACCUCAACAUGUUUAGUUCAAUAAUGUUGAACUGGAUUAUGAGCAAUAUCGAUAACUCACUUAUUAUCACAAUGUAACUCCAUUGGCUUCUCUGGUUUAAAACCCAAUUUUGUCAGGAGUCCUCUGAUCCACAAUAAUUCACAAACUCCUUGAGCCAUUCCUUGAUACUCUGCUUUUGCACUAGGCCAAGCAACCACAUUUUGUUUUUUACUUCGCCAAGUGACUAGGUUACCUCCAACGAAUAUAAAGUAACAUGAUGUAAUGUGGUUAUCUGUAAUGGAACAAGCCCAAUCAGCAUCUGUAUAUCCAACAACUUCAAUAUUUCCAUUCUUUGAGAACAUUAAUCCUUUUCCAGGGGCUGACUUUAAGUAUCUUAAGAUCUGAUCCAAAACAUUCCUAUGAGAAAUACUGGAUUAAUGCAUAAACUGACUAACCACACUCACAGCAUAUGCAAUAUCUGGUCUUGUGUGUGCCAAAUAUAUCAACCUUUCAACAAGGCGCUGGUAUUGUUCCUUAUUGGUUGGCAACCGGUCUAUGUCUUCACACAACUUGCGAUUCAUCUCAAUGGGUAUGUUAGCAGACUUACAUCUAAGCAUUCCUAUUUUAUUAAGUAGAUCCAUCACAUACUUCCUUUGAGAUAGAAAUAUACCAGUUUUUUACCUUGCUACUUCAAUUCCGAGGAAGUAUUUCAGAGCACCUAAAUCCUUCAUCUCAAAUUCCCGAGACAAAUACUUUUGUAGCUUAUGUUGCUCUCCUGUGUUGUUCCCAAUUACAACCAUGUCAUCCACAUAAACAAUUAAUGCAGUGAUUUUUCCUCCAUCACGCUUCAAGAACAAUGUGUGGUCUCAAUUACUUUGAGUGCAUCCAAAAUUCUUUAUGGACUUAGUAAAUCUGUCAAACCAUGCCCUUGAAGAUUGUUUUAACCUAUAUAAUGACUUUCCGAGUUUGCGAACUUGAUUUUUCUUGUCAAUAGCUAAAUUACAUCAUGGUGGUAAAUCCAUGUUUACCAAAUUCUUCCAAUUCUCCACGUAAGAAGAUAUUUUUAACAUCAAACUGAUGUAGUGGCCAAUAUAGAUCUGCUGCUAGAGACAGUAGGACUCUAAUAAUAUUGAUCUUGGCUACUGGGGCCAAGGUCUUCUGGUAGUCCACCCUAUAUCUUUGUGUGUACCCUUUCGCCACCAAUUUAGCUUUAUAUCUUUCAAUGAAUCUAUUUGCUUUGAGUUUCACAGUAUAGAUCCACUUACAUCCCACCGUCUUCUUUCUGUGAGGUAAAGGCACGAGCUCCCAUGUGACAUUCUUCUAGAGAGCUUACAUUUCUUCAUUCAUAGCUUUUUUACAUUGUGAGUCUUCUAGUGCUUCAGUCACACUAUUGGGGACAAAUAUAUCGACCAACUGCUUCACAAAGUGUACAUGUGACUCUGAUAAUCUGCAGAGAUAUAUAAUGAUGGAGUAUUUUUCUUUGGCUUUAAGAUCUACUUCGUACUGUACUCGAUGUUUACCAUAGUUCUUUCUUUUUGGAAGUUGGUAUAUAAGGGUAUUUGUAUCCUUUAUGCUUUCUGAAAUCAAAUCAUCAUGGUAUAUUUCAUUAGUGUUAUCAGUUUCAAAGGGAGAUGUUAUCUGACUAACUUCAUCAGAAGGUCAUUGGUGUGGUAUUAGAGCUGAAGGCGAGCCCGGAGUGGGCAAAAUCUCAUAAAACAAGUCAACUUCCUCUUCCUGAUUUUGGCAGCGUGGAUUCGACCGAUUGUUUUGACAUAGUGGCUCCGCCCGUGAAGGAAUAAAGGAGGCAACCGGUUGUUUUGGAGGGGCGACCGGUCACUUUGAUGCUGAGUCUCUUACAUUGUGAAAAAGUUUAGAAGAGUCGGGAUGUUUUGCUCUAGAUUUUCCUGAUGUGCUUCUAAAAAAUAAUAUAUGUUGUGUUUCAGAAACACUACAUCCAUGAAGGUCUAUCCUUCUUACUUGGAAGGUGAUAACAUCGGUAACUUUUUUGAUGAGGGGCAUAGCUAAUGAAAACACACUUUUUUGCACGGGAAUCCAAUUUGUUGCAUUGGUGAUCAAGUAAGUGUACGAAUACAACAAAGCCGAAAAUCCGUGGUUCAAGGUUUGGGGUGAGAGGUAUUUGCAGAUGGUGGUGAAGUGUUUGAAAAGAAGUUUGGAAAUUCAAGGUACUUGGGGGAAUCCUAUUUAUAAGGUAAGCUGCGGAGAAGACGGCAUCGCCUCAAAAAGAUCGAGGCAUGUUUGCACCAAAUAAAUAGGAACGAACGACUUUCAAUAAAUGUCGGUUCUUUUGCAUAGCCACCCCAUUUUGUCGAGGAGUAUAUGGACAAAAGCGUUGAUGUAUGAUGCCAUAAUCUUGUAAGAAUUUUUUGAGAUCAUGAUUAAGAAAUUCAUACCCAAGUCAACAUUAGCAUCCUCCUUAACAUUAAGAAAUUCAUUAACUCACGUCAACAUUAGCAUCCUCCUUAUUCUCAUGGCCUAGUCAUAGCUAGGGAAAGAGUAAAACAGUUUUGUUACUGCUCAAGCAAAAUUCAUAGAAUGUUUAACAAGGAAAAACCUUUUGAGUUUUAAUAGACUGAUAUGAUGGAUCUGAUGAAGAAGCAUAUACUUCUGUUGGAAAUUUGAGCAGUAAACAAAAUUUGCAAUCGAACCCAAGGAACUAAAAUUAUGAAAGAAAGAAAUUUAGAAUUACAUUCUCUGUUUUUUGGUGGAAAGGCUAACAUAAUCACACCAACACAGGGAAAUCCAAAGAGUACAGAUUUCAUUCUCACUAUAACUGUAAGCUCUUUUAUCAAAUAUACAAGCCAAAUACCUGAAGUUAUAUAUUACAGACUCAAUUUACUAUCUUAAUCUUUGAUAAAGAGAAUGCCACAAAAUAGGCUCCUAAGAAUAUAUGGAAGGAGAAAAUACAACUACAAAUUCAUCAAAAUCUCACAGCUUCCUGCAAAAUAUAAUUAGCCUCACCUUUUCCUAAUCUUGUGAGUUACCCCCUCCUUCGGAGACGAUGAGGAUGAUGAGGAGGAUGACAAAACUGACCGCUUAUUUUCAGCCAUGUCCUUGCAGAAUGCCUUCUGUACAUCAUCUUUAAGUUCCAAGAAUCGUGUCUUCUUCUUUCUCUGCUCUUCUGGAGUGCCCUUUUCGAGGAUGAAAUCAGCCAUAUCCAUCUCAUCGUCCAAGAACUUAUCAAGCACUUCUGAGCAAUGGGGGAAGAAGCGCCGGCCCAUUUCCACUGCCAUCACCAUAUGAUAUAACUUACUGAUUGCUCAGAGAAUAAUGAGGAUAAAAGUUAUGCUCUUUCCUAAACUAGUUCAAGUUGUAUAUGCUAGUCCAGCUUUAGACUUAAUAGGGUUUUACAAAGACUCUUGAGUCUUUAAAAGUAACUUCAUCCUGGGACUAGGGAAGUUACAUGACAUUCCAUAUUGAAAGCAUUUUGUAACUUUCUCCUGUACAGGUAACCAUGGUAAUAUGCUGCAUAUUUCAACCCGGUUAUAUCACUAGAUAAUUUUUUCGGGUUGAUUAAAAGGUUGUGGUAAGCAUGGCAGGCAAGUUACAGGUUCAACAAUGAAGGAUUUACAAAGAGUAUGGUCAAAGAGGAUAGGCAUGGAAAACCGUGCGAGAUAACACGCCGCGCGAUAACACGCGCUAAGGAAAUAUGCAAGUCACAGAGGAUUUAUACAUGUCACAGAUAAGACGGCCAUACCUGUUUUACGGAGGGCUUGCAUUCUUGCUUGGAGUCUUUUGGUCCGUCCAGAGGGUGUUUCAUUCAAAUCAACCUCUCGUAAGUUCCCACUUGACCCUCUUGAUGUUGAAAGGCCAGUGUGCAUUGAUGUUGUACAAGCAUCAGCCAUUUCCAUAGCUAGCUUCGCUUCAGCAGGAAACAACAACCGUGCAAAUGCCACUGCAAAAUAAAGGAAUCUGUAUACUCAUUUCAAGGAUAAGAAUACAAAGCUCAAAGUAAAUGUCUUGAUUAAAAAUAAGGUAGGCUAAGGUGCUGGUAAUUUUGACUUUAUACAUUAUAGGUCAAAUUUCUAUAAGCAGGGGCACCAGGGACUUCAAGACCCGGAUAUCAUAUCCAUGCAAAGCUUUCUCAUCCUAAGCAUCUUCUUAAAUUUCUUGGGGUUCUACCAACCCAAACACUAAAAAGAUUGAAGUAUUGACAUAAAAUAACAUAAACAAAAAAACAAUUUAAUGAACUUAAGACAUUGUAAUUUGUACAUCUGCAUUAUCCUGAACUCAAAUCAUUAACAAUAACAUUAUAAAUGUAAUCUAAGUGAAUUAUUUAAUAUAAUUAAGAAUCAUCACCUCUAUUUUCAAGAUAGUCCAGCCUCACGUUCAAAUCAUCAGCCAUCACCUCUGAUAUGAUUGACAAGUUCCCAGACAUUGAGUUUCUUUGCAUCUCUCUCUCUAGAAGAUCGAUGCACAUCCGGUCUUUGUUGGAUUCCUGUCCCUUCUCUGUGUUCUCAUAAAAAUCCUUCGGUCUAGUCAACCUCCGGCAAAUUGCAACAGCAGUUCGACCAUCUACUGUAGUUUCUGAGGCAGAGGCUCCCCUGUUCAGAAGAGGAACCAUAACUGCUGGGUGCUUACGUCUGGCUGCCACAUGAAGUACAGUAUAUCCUCGGGCAUUGCAAAGGUUGAUAGUAGCCAAGCCUAGACCAAGAACCUCCUUAACAACUUUGGGAUCACAGUAUGCAACUGCAUAGUGGAGAGCGUAAGCAUCAUCUAAUGUAAUAUCAGAUUCCUUCAGGAGAAGCUCAACCAGUUCAACAUCAUCAGAGUCUAAUGCCUUGUGGAUUCUCCUGAUUCUCUUAUCCUUUACUGGUUCCAUUUCCAUCAUACUUGAUUCAUCCUUUUCCUGUGAUCUGAGACAGAGUGAUUUAAUAUCAUUUGAAACUUCAUGAGGAAGCUCUUUCUCUAUAGCCACACUGUCAAGAUCUGACCUUGCUACCCUCUGGAUGCAGUCUGAGAGCAGCUGACUCAGUUGGCAGUGGAAGGCAACUACAAGAAUUGGGAUUACGUCUUCAAUAAAAGCUUUCUCAACAAAGUUUGAAAGACGGCGCUGCAUAAAUUGGUGGAAAUUGUCAGCAUACAAACACCUAAAAGCUGGCUAGUGUUGACAAACAUAAAAUAAACAACACAAACUUGCUGUUUAGUGGGAUAAAUAUACCAAUCAACAGGUAACAAUGAACAGAUAGGCUACUGGAUUCCCCACAAAAUAAGUGAUUGAAACGUAAAUUAGGCUAGGAUAUAGAUUAUACUAGCAUGUGUCGAAAUCUAAAACUUGCCGAGGUUUAGUAAGUUAUACCAAAACAGAAGGAUUACGAAUGCGUUCAAAUCUAAGACUUCAAAAACAACUCAAAGAGAACAAGCAAAAACUAGCAAGGAACCAGGAUCAUUUGGUAAAUUAUUUAGAUAUCAUCAUCCUACCAAAACUACACAAGGCAACCAAAUAAACCUUGCAAGAAAAAUUGCAAUUGGUCCUGUUGUAAAAGAUAUAACAUUCAACAAAGCAAGAGAAAAAAGAACCCUUUCAUACUAUAAAUUUUGAGACUAAAGGAAAGUAGUACAAUUGUGGAAAACCAGAUCAAAUGGUAAUUCUUAUGCUUCAUAGCUUAAUAGAGUUUUGAUAAAGAAAUUGUAGGCCACGGGCUGUAGAGUUGGUGCCCACGCACUUAGUAAUUGCAAUGCUUCAGAGCUUUUGCUAACAAUUAAAAAAGCAGUGAUUAAGAAAUUAUAGGCCACACAGGCUAUUGCGUACUAAAACAGCCUGCGACUGUCAAGCCAGAGCAGGAAAUUGGACAUUUGUCAGAAAGAAAGUUGCAUCAAAGGUUUCAACUUUGAUCUGAAAUUAAUCUGGCAUACUCUGGACAGAGUAUAAUUCUGUAAAACAUGGAGAGGGUAAUCUUAAAACAUAUAUUUUACUAUUUCAUCAUCAUAUUAGUGAUUUCAUCAAUUUGAAGGAGCAAAAGGUGAAUUCAGAAAAUUCAAUUUGCAAGUUUCAGACUGUAAGUAUCAAAAGUGUGCAACAAAUUGCAAAGGUAAAGUAGAUAAAGAGAGAACAUAUUUUCAAAAGAUCACAUGCAUCUCAACUUCCAGAGAUAAAACCAAUGUCAUCUCUUUGGUGUUUUCAAUAAAAAUUCUUUAUAUAUACAUAUAUAUUUAUAUAUGUAUAUGUUUGACAUAAAGCAAUACUGAUUGCUGCAUGAAUUAUCAUCAGACUAUUCUAAUUAAGCUAUUCAACUUAACAAGCUAAGAACACAAAUUAUUGAGUGACACAUUCAUUUGCAGAAGAUAAACUUUUAAGACAAAUAAAAGCGUAACAACCUGAACAAGCUGAACAAGCUCCUUCAUCUGGAAAGUGGCCGAAGCAUACAUCAACUCUACAGCAUAAUUAAUAGCAGGGCCACAUGCAUCAUGGGCACAAUGAUGAUCAACACAUGUGGAUACUUCUCGAGGUGAUGGCUGAAGCUUUCCGGUGUACAAAUAGUUCAAGAUAACCUUGAAGGCUUCAUAGCCAACCCGGCCAUUAGGAACCAAGUCAGACAUGAGAUACUUUGGUUUACCUUCCUUAAUCGAAUCAUCAUUUCCCUGCUUAAAAAGAUCCUGAAAAAACUCACUACGUGCAGCCAAUAUGCACCGGUUAACACCUACUGUGUUGCCCUCAACUAUAAUCUCUGCGUCAUUAUAGUCAUAUUCAGGUUCAAGUAAAAGUCUCUCAAGACUGCCACUGAGUUUGUUUAGACUCAAAUAAAUUUCAAUACUUGGCACAGGUUGAGAACUGGCUGAGGCAGAUACAUGGUUACUACUGGACCCAUUUGAUAGAUAAGAGGAGGAGGCAAAGCUCAAGGAUGAAGACAGUUCAUUCACAUUAUCCAUGACUUGAAAUCUAUAAAUGAAUCAAGAAGCAGAAAUCACCCAAUUCAGAAAACCAGGCUAAUUCUCCUGCACAAACUGCAUCAUUCUAUGGAUAAAGCAAAUCUAAGCAGACCCAAUCUCUCCAAAUUCACUGUAAAUUGGUCAAAACAAGCAAAAUAGUGAAAUAAUCUGACAACCCAAAAGUCAAAACUUAAUUCCAGGCAAAUCCCACUUGUUGAAACAUUGAGCAAAAUCCCACAAACCCGACACAAAAGACAGAAUUUUUGCUAUAUAAAGCUAGGCACCAAAAGUGAGGUAGCAAAUCCUUCAUGUCCUGGUAUAGAUACGUCUUGAAUCUUCAUAAGCCACCAUCAGCCCCAUCAAAUCUAAAGCUCGGAGCAGUCAAUAGUGAACAAAAUAUGAGCUAAAACCGUCAAAAGACUGAGAAAAGCUCAAAGAGAAAAGGAUCAAGAUUGCAUACAAGGACACCCUUUUGAAGAAGCUUGAGUAUAAAUGAAGCAACAGCUGCAGAUGGUGAAGCUUAAACAAGAAGAGAAACUCAAAGACCUGACAGUUGACCAGGAAAAGCUCCAGGCUUUGAUAUUCUCUUGAAAAUCAACAACAUUUUGAACAAGACAGGACUUUGAAGCUUCGAAGAAGAUUGAGUUGAGGGUCUUGAAAGGAAUAUGGGAAGGAAAAAGCCGCACUUCUCAAAGGUUAGAUGAAGUGGCUUGUCUUGUGAAUCUUACUGGUCAGCACAAUUGGUUGACUGUCCAAGUAACAGGACAAAGUGCAAACUCAAACAUGUUAUUGUUAAUGACAAAAAAUAUAUGUCAGCACCAAAGAUUUAUGUGAUGAUUAAGAUUAAUUUAACUUAUGAAAAACAUUUAAGAAUAUUUUAAUAAAUUUAUGUUGUUGUAGGGAAAGAAAGACAGUUGGACAAGGAUUGCCUCCCUCCAUUGGCCCUUGGGGUUACAGUACAGGUGAGUUGACUUGACUUCUUGUUGCAUGAAAACCUAUUUGUUAUCAAGCUUUGGUCCCGCUCGGCGGCUACCCUGCCGUGUUAUAUUAACAACCAUGAAUAUUAUUUGUUUUAUUAUUAUGAAAAACGAAAUUAUAUGACGUUGGUUUGAAAUCAAUUAAAGGAAAAGUCUUUUCUAACUAAUCAUAAAAUGUUUAUUUGUAAAUCAUUUUAUAUUAUUUGGAAUGUUACAUCAAUUACAGAAUUGUUGAUUUUGUAAUUUCGCAAGAGAAAUGUUACUUACUACUUUUUACCGCUUUCGUCCAUUUCAAAAUGAUGUUAGGAAAAAACCCAAAAUGUUAUCAACCCAAGAAAAGUUAAAAUGAUGUCUCUGUUAACCGAGAAAGAAAAAGACUUUUUUCUUAGUUAUAAUUCAAUAUAUACUAAAAAAAAAGUUUGUACUGAAGUUUGAAUCUCUUUUUUUGUGAAUUAAAAGAGUUUAGAAUAUUAUUUUUUCUAAGGAUGGUAAUGGGUGACACUAGACAAAAGGAAAAGGCUUAAAUGCUAAAAUAGUCCAUGUGUUUUAUCUUAUUGGCCAAUUUAGUUCAUGUGUUCUUAAUUUGGCCAAUUUGGUCCCUGUGUUUAGCACUGUUAGCCAAUGUGGCCCAUUCUGUUAAAAUUGCCGUUAAAUAAAUAUGUUUUUCUUUUUCUUCCUUUGAAAACUUAUAAAUUUUGUUGAAAUUAAUUUAUAAAAAUUGAAUUAAUUUAAAAACAUAUCAAAACUUCAUUAGAACUAAAACAUAGCAUUAGAAAAAAGAUUAAAAAAAAAAAAAAAGGAUGGGCGCAGGGCUGCUCAGCAAUGUGGUUGGGGGAAGUGGGGCGAUGACUGCAUGGUGAAGAUCCUAUUGGGAGAUGGUCAGGAGUUGGAGAGAGAGAGAGAGAGAGAGAGAGAGAGAGAGAGAGAGAGAGAGAGAGGAUGGCUGUGGCUUGGGGAGUUGGGAUUUUUGCGUGUGGGUGAAUUGUUGCUGGGGAAAAAGGGUGUUGCGGUUGAGAUGAAAUGGUGUUGUCCUUUGGUUUUUAAUUGCUUUUAGCUUUUAAAUCUUAUUUUUAUUUCAUAAUUAUUUAUUUUAUAGAUUGAAUUUAAAUAUUUAUAUUUAUAUUAUUAAUAUUUUAAUAGAAAUUUAAUAGAUUAAAUUAUAUUAGACAGGAACUAAAUUAGUCAAAUUAAAAAUAAAUGGACUAAAUUGACCAAUAAGGUAAAACAGAAAGACCAUUUUAGCAUUUAAGCCUACAAAAUACUAUACAUAUUUUGAGAAGCAAAUUGUUUUUUUAUAUUUUAAUCCAUAAUAUUUAGUCCUUGGUGGACAGAUGUCAUUCGCGGACCCCUGUGGCUGUGAAUUUCGAUAAACUGGACCACACUGGAGACAAGCUCCUCGACUUCAAGAGCCGCCGUAGUAUCCACCACCAUCUUGGGUACAUCGGCCACAUCGUACUCCGUGCACCCACCGUACCCGUCCAAUAGCCUCUGCAUAUCCCGCCACGUGGACGGCUUGUGCCAGCCCGGCCCUCCACCAGCCUCAGCGCGGCGCUCGAGCCUUCGGCGCCACUCGGCCUCGUCCUUGGGCCUACACUCCACAAUCAAGAGGCGGGCCCCACUGGACGAUGCCAACUGGGCCAGGUACUCGAAGUGGGCCCUACGGGAGAGGGGCGAGUCCACGAUGACGCUGAGGCCCAGGCGUAGCUGGGUGGCAGCGAUCUGCCAGAUGACGCGGUACGACGCGUCGUUUAGUACGGAAGACGCGGAGGAGGAUGCGGGUUGGAGACUCUGGAUUUUGUCGCGCACGUCGUCUUUGUCUAAGAGAGGGAGUUUGAGAGUUGAGGCUAAGGAAUUGGCUAAGGUGGUUUUGCCUGUGCCUGGAUGGCCCUUCAUUGCUAUCAACAUUUGAACUCUACCUUUAUCUUCUUCUUCUUCUCUGGCCAUAUCUUUCAGUCGCAGACAAGAGAUGUAAAUUUGAGUAUUUGGGGGGUUGGUUUUUAUUUUGUAUGGUGGGGCCUACCUAACGGGACAAGGCUUAGUAAUUAAGGUUAGCCUAAUUUUGUUUUUGUUUUUUGUUUUUGUUUUUUCCCUCCCUUAUCUUUUUCACAUGCUUAGUGAUAAGGUUAAUAAUGCAGUUGCAGUUUCAUUUUGUUGUUUUGCUGCAGUGGAUAUGAUUGUGUUUUGAUGAUUCGAUCAAUGACAAGUGGCUUAAUCUAAUAGGAAAGUUGAAAGAGGAAGAUAAGAAGAACCAAAUUUUAGAUACCCAAAGCGCUUCUUGUGUUCAGUCCUUGUAUAUUGGUGAAGUCAAUGCAUGAGGGCCGAAAGAUUAUGCAAAGUUCCAUCUUGUAUCUUGUCACAAUAGUUUCAUGAAAUAUUAAAAGAGCAAUGGAAGAGAUUACUAAUGAAUCAACACAUCUGAUCUGAUAUAAAAACGUACACCUAGAUCUUCACUUUUGGCUUGUUACUGAUAUGAGCUUACCAGAAUUGUUUCCGAAACCAAGGAUGGUUUCAGCUUUGCUUGGUCUUGUGACAGCAAAAUCAAAAGCUAGGAUGAAUUUCAGAUGCAAUCCUCUUGUGUCUUCUUCAUUCACGCGACUUCGCUGGCAUUCAUAGGAGGAUUACAGUCUGGGAAAUUGAAAAGAUCAUUGUGUUGAAGACAUAUAUAUUCCUUCAUCCUAGAAAACUUGACACGACCAGCUUACCCCAAUCUAACAUCCUACAACAUACAGUUAGAUCCCAUUCAAGAUGAUUGUUCUCUACCCUUAUUCCUACGCUUCUUCCUCUUCACUGGCGACUCUCCCCUUGGACCAUCUGAUGCAUCAGUGCUUGCACCGUUGCCAACUAAAUCUGGACCUUGUGAUGGAGGCUUCUGGUGAGCGGUGAUGGGAGCAGAAUCAAGCGGUGGUUGAACACUGUGACUUGAUGGGUCACUCAACUUUGCUGCCCCAUUUCCAAUCACAUAAAACCGUACUGCUCCAUUAGCAGCAGGUAUACUCGUGCCUUGUGAUAGAGGCUUCUGGUGUGCGUUCAGGAUACUGUGACUUAACGGGUCACUCGACUUGGCUGCUCCAUUGACGGCAGGAGUACAUGAUCUGAGGAAGUAACAGUGCAUUUCAUUUGUGUCAUUGCUUCCAUGUGCAUCAUCCCUUAAAAUAUCGCACAUAAUCGAUUUGUGUAAGUAGCAAUCUUGAAGGGGCAAAACAGAGUCGUCAGUCACAGUUUCAUUUUCCACCGAAGUCGGAGACUCCUCGGAUUCCUUUGGAAAUGAGAUCCCAGAUAGACCAUCAUACGAUAGAGCACAGGCUAUAGCAUAAACUGAGGCCCCAAGACCAGGAGGCAAAACUUUCCUUGGAUGUGUAACCUACAAAAUGGUAAAACAUAAACUCAGAUAAAAUGGUAAUCUACAGGGUUUCAGGACAUAAAUGAACUAUUGUGUUGUAAUGCAAAUAUCAAUGCAAAAACAGCUGUAGAAGUACGAACAAAGAAAGUACUUUGAAUAAGAUUGCUGCAGAUAAACGUUCUCUCAAGCAGUAGAUCUGAGCAACGUCCAGAGCUUUUGACCCAAAUUGAAGCCACCGAUCCACUAUAACUGUGACUGAAUUAUCAGGAGAUGACAUAAUUUUCUCCUUGUGUUGUCCACCUGACUUACCAUCUAUCUCCAUUGCAUCUUCAUCACUUUCAUCCUCAUUGUCAUCCAUAUCACUCCCCUCAUCAAUGUAACCAUCAUCAUCAUCAUUGUUUGAUGGAGCAACAGAAAUUUCUGUCGAAAGCAAUAGUAACGGAAGUGGCCCGAUAACAGUACAGUUCCGUAUGUUCAUCACACCCGAAUCCCCACGGGUUAUCUCAUCAAACAUAAUCAAUGGACGAUCAUCACUGGUAACCUUGAAACCUAACUUAUAAUUCAUAGAGUGGUUGUUUAAACAAACUUUAACCCCAUUAGGAGUUUCUACAACAGAUCGUUUCAUCUUCUUGCGAACAGGAAGCAAUCUCCCCACCAUUGGAUAUAAACCGGCCACGAGAACAGCACGGAGUAUUCCUGGGUUACGUGCAUUCAAGCUACAUCUUGAUACAUCCUCAGGGAUAAAACCAUGCCGAAUUAGCUCUGUCUGGAGCUGCUUGCGCAUACGAGAUAGCAUAUGCAUCGUACUUGAAGACACAAAGUAUUGAGAACAGAACAGUUUCUCUUGACCUCGUUGUUUAGCAGUCUUCCAUAUGUCAAAUGCUGCUAUGACUGCUAGCUGAUCACUAUGCCCACCAUACAAUGAAGCAAGUUCAUAUUUAGCAGCAGCGGCUCUCUUCUUAUCAUCAGGUAACAUAGGCAGGGAAAAUGGAUCCUUGAAGUCAGUAGCACAUGCCAGAGUCAAAGCUGGGUCAAGACAGUUCAUCAGUAUAGAAAAGAAAAGCAUCUUGCUCGUCAAUGGAUGAACAGGUAGAGAACCUAGCUUCUCCCCAAGUACUGUAAGUUUCUCAUCAAGUGACAAAGCCCCAAUAUCUUGAAGAACAGCAACUGCAUUGCGUAUGGUCUCGGAAAGUGGAGGAUCCAAUGUCUUAAUCAAGAAAUCUUCUAUAUUGCAAUCUGGAUCAAGUAACUUCACCUGUCAAUCAGAAAUAAAAUCUUGAAAAGCUUUAAUAGAUCACAAAAACUCAUUAUACUCCAAAAACACACUAGUAGAUCACAAAGUAUCCAAAAACACUCAUUAUAUCACAAAAACUCAUCUAAUGGAAACAACACCUCUUCUCUUAUUGGUCCGAAUAUUAGUACCAGGUAUAAUGCAGUUCAUUUUGGAAUAAGAAUACACGUCCCUAUAGGCAACUUCUGCGUGUGCGUAUUUCCAACAACAUUAUGAACGCAGGAUGAAAACAAAACAAAAUGACAGUAGCCAUAACUAAACAAUUGCAAUACGUCCCACCGACCUGUGACAUGUCAACAUGCCAAUGUUAUCUUUUAUCAUUGCUUAUUUAUGAUCACACAACAACGCGUCAUUUCGCUAAUUUCUUUAGUUCGCAGAAAAUAGUAUAUGCCCAAAUAAUGUUACAUUUUUUCUGUGGAAGGUGGGCUAUUUUCGGGGAAGGGAGAGGAGGAGGAGAAAGGGAGUCAUGACUAUUGGAAACUUUAACAGAUUAACAGGACAACAAUGCAAUAAUUUGUUUCUUGGGGCAAGUUCUUUGUCUCAAACAAAGUUUCCACAGACAAUAACAGAUAGAUGAACAUAUGACCCCAGUAACUGAGAACGGAUAAACAAUGCGAUAGAUAUACAGCAAUGCAGUCUCUGUCAUGAUUCAAAGAGGUUUAAGAAAUGUGGAGAAAGGUAUACCUGCAGGCAAAGCCCUUCAAUUGGCAUUCUCCUAAUCUCAGGCACCUGAAAAUCUGGCAAUGAAGCUGCUCGAACUUUAGAAUAAAGAUGAUAACAGAUUCCAGGCUGACAACGACCAGCACGGCCCCGUCGUUGCUUGGCACUCGCUUUUGACACCCAGGAAGAUUGAAGACUUGAUACAUUUUUGUAAGGAUCAUAAUUUUUUUCUUUCAUCCGGCCACUAUCAAUAACAUAAACGACAUCAUCAAUGGUGAUGGCAGUUUCAGCCAUAUUAGUUGAAAGAACAAUUUUACGGCAACCAGGAGGGGGGCGUUUGAAGACCAUGUUUUGGUCAGCAGAUGGAACCAUCGAAUGUAGAGAUAUUAUCAAAACCUUAGAAGUAUUUCUGAAAUACGGGUUCGUGAGUAAUCUCUCCUGGGUUUUUUUUAUAUCAUCCCACCCUGGAAGGAACACAAGGAUGGCUCCAUCUUUUGAAUCACUACAAAUUUUCCUUAAUAAUUGCUCAAUAAGAACAAAAUCAACAUUUUCAGGAUUAAAAUAUUGGAGAUAUCUAUCAAUUAACAGUUGUUCUUUCAUAGAGUUAGAAAGAGCAUUUUCAAUAUGCUCUUUCAAUAUCUCAGCAGUUUCUCGCUGCUCUUCCCGUUCAGCCAACUCCAAUGCAGUUGCUCCAUCAUUGGCCUGUAAUUGGCAGUCCGCACCAAAAGAUAGCAGCAUGCAAACAUCUCCUGUUCUACCCUUUCCAGCAAACACCAUUAACGGCGUAAGUCCAGUUAAAGAAUGCUGGUAAUUAAAGACUUUGCGAGUUCUUUCAGAAGAAGUAAACUCUAGAAGGGGAUCAAACUCAUCAUUAGACCAAGCCAGAUUAAUAGCUUCAUCUAGAAAAAGCUUCAAUUCCUGUGUUAAGUCAGGAUCUUCAUUCUGUAAACCUACUGCAGUAUUAAGGUGAUUAUUUUCUACGGAUUUCAGGAUAGAAAGUACAUCCUCCAAAUAGAAAGUUUUGACCUGAUAAAGGAUAAUACCACGGCAUUAAAACAAAAGCAGCAUAAUAUAAACAACUAACAAAUCACCAUCUUUCUUUAGACAAAUUGACAAGUCACUAUCUGAGGAAGAGUUUUUACAGGAUAAGUGAACCCAGGGACACGGAUAAUUGGGCAUCCACCAAAAUAAUGUGAAAACCGUUCAGCAUCAACAGUUGCACUCAUCAGUAUCUGUUACAAUAAGUAUCAUAAACAGACGCAGAUCAUCAAUUAAUAUAAGCUCCAGAAAAAAAAAGGGUAAUAUACUAAUAUCGUAAGAAUGACAGAAAUAGAAGACAUGUUUGAACUAACCAGAUGUAGAUGAGGGUGUGAAGAAAGCAUGUCUCUGCACAUUAAUCACACACAAAAAAAAAUUCCGUGAACAAACCAAAAUCAGACUCGAAAAUUCAUGAUUGAUGAACAUGCAUUCUGACCUUUCAUUUGCAUCACCAAUAAACUAUAAUACACAGCAACAAUUCUGCUCAAACUAUUAUCCACAUCAAUACACAGUAACAUUUCACUCAAACUAGUAUUGAUUACUCUUCAUAUUUGGCAUUCCCCAAAUUUAAGUUACUCUAAUUUGAGCUCCUAAUCAAACCAAAAUUAUAUACACAUCCGGGUUUAUUAACACAAGCAAACAACUUAAUGACGAUAAAUCAAUGUGUAGUAUAUACCUUAUAAUUGCCAGCAUAAAAUCUGAGUGGUGAUCCCUUUCAUGAAUUUCAUCCUACAGAGGGAAAAGCAUUCAUUGCAAUUGUAAUCCAUGACAACAGAAAGAAGGAAGCAUAAACGAGAGCAUAUGUUUAAACUGGUCUCAAGAAAAAAAAGCUCCAAAACAUAUGCCUACAAGAUAAGGACUUCCACAAAUGAAUGCACAUAUAAACCCUCCAGCCGUAUAAUCUAAUCCUAAUACAGAUUCCAGAAAGAAAUUGAAGAAUCCCAAUGAAGAAAGUACAAGUACCACAAUAAUGUGAGUUAUGUCAUUGACAUCUUGCUUGGUUUCUUUGUUUGAGUCACCUGCUUUUGAUCUACCAGCGCCUCUGGACACUAACAACCUCAACAGAAUCCCAUUUGUGCAGAGCACAAUUGAUGAGUGCCUGCCACCUUGACUUUCCAACCGUAUCUAGCAUCGCCAAAAGAAUAUAUAAGUUAGUUUCUCACAAGUUACAAUAAUAUUGACAAGAUACAUAGGACUUGGAAUCCUAUUGAGACUACGCACGCCUUCUGUAAAUGUAUAAUCACAAGCAAAUUAACUUUUCUGGUUUGAUCUAGCAAACCCUGAGAAUAUACUUAUGUAUAACUGAAAAUGAUGUAACCAACUUAGCUGUGACCAAUAUACCAUAUUUCAUAUUGAAAAUUAGACCAACUAAAAGCAUCCAACAAAAAUAACCACAACAAUUUCUGCACAUGAGUUGUAAAAUGAACAAUAUUCUGUCUUUUUUCCGGUUACAAAGAUUGAUUAGUUCAAAUUUCCCAGACUACUAAUUAUUGAAUUGCAAAACAGGAGCUUCUUCGCCCCUAACGACAGUCAUGUCUGGUACAUAGACCUAUAUUAAAUACAAAGAAGUUACCUAUAACACUGCUUCUAACAACAGUGUAUGACAGAAUGGUCAUUGAUAUGAUAAAAUAUAAACUAUACAUCAAGACAACUCAUGAGCAACAUUACCUUGUAUCCAAUAUCCUCUCCAACAUUUUCUCCUCUUUCCUUAGAGAUUCUCUCGGCAACUGGACACAAAAAUACCAAGGAUUUAAUAAUUUGAAGUUUACAAUGAGUAAAGAAAAAAUCAAAUAAAUAAAGGGGGCCUAAAAGUUUUGUAUGCAGAAAGAAGAGUGUCAACCUGAUGCAGCUGAGAUACGUCGAGGUUGAGUGCACACUAUUUUACAUGCCUCCCCCUUACCCCACAUAUGGUCCAAAAUAAACUGUGGGACCUGAAUCAUAUUUUUCAAAAAGAGAACAUUAUCAAACAUAGUUACAGAAAGUAAUAAUAUUAAGUCUAGUUUUAAAAGAUUAAUGCUAUGCUACAUUAAGCAGGAAAAACUAGUCCACAGUGCAAAGAAAACAUCAAGAAAUGUUAAAAGCAUGUCAUAUACAUCCUGAAAUGACUGAUGAACACAAGCGGACUAAUGAAGCUUGUCAUAAAAAACAAAUAAUCUAAUGAGUAUAAAAAACUAAUCAAGAUUCAUAACUCUCAAUUAUAACAAUGAUAUUGCACUCUUGAACAUGCAUGUCCACAAAUAUGCAAGAUCAGUUCAAGUCUUGAUACUCCAUGCUCUCCCUUCUUUUGUAAUUUUUAAAAAUCCAAAAAGUGACAUCCACAGGGCUCCGUAUAGAAGCUUGCAAGUAAAGGUACCAAAUUUCCUAUGCAGGCAGGUUUUUAAAUGGUAAAAUCAACCAGAAUAUGUUAACAGUAUAGACAAUGAUAUCCAUGCAACUUAUGUCACUAUCAAGACCAAGGAAAGGAAAAAAAGAUGUUGCCAUAUAAAGAACAAAAUAAAUUAAAUGGACUUCUUUUGAAACAGAACCAGACAACUUAUUAUAAAUAUACCAUAAAGAAGACAAAGCAAAGAAAUCAUAACCUGUGUGGUCUUUCCGCACCCAGUCUCACCAGAUAUAAGAAUUACCUGCUUUCAAAUAGGAGAUUAACAAUAAGUCCCCGAAGUUGAGAAGGAAUCCAUUCAAUUCAAACAAAGGUUCAAUGAAGUAGCAAAACAGAGUUUCUAGUAACGAGUAACAGACCCCACUAUGUUGAGAUAAGGACACAUCGCAUAUCUAAUUGAUACUAGGAAAUUUCAAAAAUAAUAUCACGCAUAAUGUGAUCUGCCGCGUGAACAACUAGCUAAUAAUUUCAAACACCAAUCAUGUGAAUGUUCAAAUUAACCUGAUGAGAUUCAACUGCUGAUGUAAUGACAUCCCUGUAGGAUGUAAUUGGAAGCUUAGACUUCUCUUUGGUGAUCUGCACGCAUAAAUUCACAGAAACCUGUCAUGCUGAGCCUAUUAUUAUGCAAAAACUAUGACUUAAAAUGAUGUAGAUGAUAAUAGAGGUGCAUCAUCUGUUAAAUCAGAAGAACCUUUCUCAAUUUAUCGGAAUUCUUUAUUCUAGAAGCAAGUGAUUGCACUUUCUUUGCAAUUUCUGCCUUGGUCAUCAAAGGCUUGCAAAACAUACUAUCUUUCUUCCGCUUGGCUUUCACAUUCUCAUUACUAUUUGUCCCAUACAUUUCUCUGCCCUCCACUUCAUCACCGGGUGGGUAACACAUGAACAAGUCCCUCAAUACUUCUUUUGUGCCUUCGGAAAAUGUCAGAUGAGUGAGCUUUGGAAUACCAUCAACGGCUGCAGCCUUCUUUUUAGGUUUAUAAACAGACACAACACGUUUUUUCCCACUCCUACAGAGUUCAGGUUUAUCAUCAGUUUAAAAAAACCUGUGCAGAUAAGAAAGCUGAAAUUUUCCUCUUUUGUUUUGGUGCCCAAAAAUAUGGAAGCAUGUAAGCUUCUCUUAAAUUAAAAUAUACAACAUUUUGGUCAUUAUCAACAAGACAUAACUACCAGCACUCACCCUUUACUCUUGGAUUUCAUACCCAUUUUCCUGCAUUGUUGAUGCACUUCAGCACGGUCAUGGUUCGAGAGACCGGCCUCAAAUGUGUAAACUGCAGGCAGAUUCCGAUAAUGUUAAAAAAACCAUUCAUACAAUGUGAAAAAUUAAACAAAAUCAAAUACUUGGUCCUUUUAAAUUCGCACCAAAUACCAAGUAAGUUCCUGAAACGCUCCUCCCGACAAAAUAAAAAGGAAGCAAACAUGGAUUCAGAUCGCAUUAAAGUAUUAAAUUUCAUUAGCACCCAGUUUUAAGCCAUGACUUUAUUCAAACACUUCACCUUCGUCAUCAGCGGAAUUGAAGCGGGAGAGUAAUUGAGCUAUUCGGUUCCUCAUGCUUUCUGGAACUUUACUGUUUUGUUGUUGGCCGCCUCUGUUCUUCUUCGCCAUGUCUAUUGCUUCUUCCUUUGGCUCUGGUCCUCUUCCCUUUUGUCUGUUCGUUAAAUUCCGAAUCUGAAGCAGCCGUUGGCGCCCAGAGGAAUGUAAAGCUUUGAAGAAGAAGAAGAAGAAGACGAGAUUCAGUGGAGUUGUCGAAGAUUUGGGUCUCGCUCUCCUCUGCCCUGAAUAGUCGGCGUCUGCUAUGAAAAUGGAGUUUUCAGUUCUGCUAUGUGUUUCGUAAAUUACCCUUGCCCUUUGCCCUUCCUCCGCAUAUGCUUUUUUAUGCUUGGCAUAUGUAAAGCGGUGCCCGCGCCGCUAAGUUAAACCCUCCAUCAUAUUUACACUUCCAAUUUGUUAUUUUCUUUAAUUUUUUGUUCCUUUAUUAUUUUUAAAAAAAAAUAAUAAUUAACGAGCAUGAUUUGAAUUUGGCCAUAUUUUAACAAAAUUAAGAUAAAUAAAAUUUCUCAAUAAAUAAAGUCUACAAUAUUCUCAGAAUAAAAACAAGUAAAACCCUAUCCCAUCAGUUGAUGUCUAUAAUAUUUCAAAUGACAUUUCAUCAGAGAUAAAACUCCUUAUUAAGUAUGUUCCACUUCUAUUAAAAUGUGAUCUCAAUGGAAUUCACAAAUGUGUGCAGACUCAAUUAAAACAAAACAAUUAAAAAUAUAUAUAUGAUAUGAAAACCCUAGUUUAUCUAUCUAUAUAUAUAAAGCAAAAGGCAGAGAAUGGUGAAACAUUCAAAAUACCAGAAAAUGCCCUUUGUUAAUGCAAACAUUAAGAAUUCAAAUUAUUAAUUAAAUGAGGAUAAUAUGAUAAAUUCACACUUUUUCAUAUUAAAAAAAUUAAAAUUAAAAGAAAAUUCAGAUAAUGGGUCCUAUUUUUAUGGAACACAAAUAUCCAUGAUCUUUUUUAAUUCUAAAAUAAAUUUAAAUUUUUUUUAAAAAAAACCUCUCGCAUGCGCGGAAGCGCGUGCAGAGAAGCUAGUAUAUUAUAUAUCUACAUGCUAACGAGCUUUGACUUGCAGAUCAGUAGUCUCAUGAAGAAAAGAAAAAAUAGGUGUAGAUAUUAAACUAAGCCCAGCCCAACUUACAGGAAGUGAGCCAACAUUGGCCCAAAUGUGAACUGCCAACCAAGCCAGCAAAUGUUGUGGUAGGCAAAAGCCUAAUGCGAAGACUGUGAAACCCCAGCCCUAAGCCAGUACAAGUAGAGAGGAGAACUUACAAGACUCAUCUCUCUCUGACCCUCUCUCGCCUCUAUAUAACCCCAUUGAGUUGGUUUCCUCCACGCAAAAGAGAAACUCAGUGUGUUAUACGACAAAGGUACCUGAUACUUUAUUCAUUCCUUGAAAAUACAUAGCCUCUACCCAAUAUACAAUAACCCAUUGGGCAUUGAUUGUAAUUUGCAAUCUGCUAUUUCUUUUUUUUUUCUUUCUCUUUUUUGGAUUUCACGAAAUUUUCUCAUAUUAUCUAUCACCUUAAUCUGCUGCUUGCUCACCUAUAUUACUUUUAAUGUGCCGACAAAUGAGAAAAAAGCAAGUCCUUGUUUUGGAUGCUUUGGUCUCCUAUUCUUCCUCAUACCCAUUAUUGAUUGUUGAAUCCUGAACCUGUUCCUGUGUUGGGUUCAUUUACUUUUGAUCGGAAUCGGUUCCCAAAGCGAAAUCGGUAUCUGGGUACCCUGGAUUUUGCUUGUUUAUUACCUCUAAAUUUGGGCAAAUCUUGUGACGGCUUCUAUCCUCUUGGUUGGUUCUCAUUUCUUGCUGAACGUUCUUGUUUGGGUAUUUGUUUUGGUGUUCAAUAUGGUUUUUAUCUGUCAUGUUUUCUCAUUGUUAUUUUUCGAGGUCAGAUUUCAUGUUUUGGUUUGUUUUGAUUGCUUACUAUAGUGGGAUUCUUCUACUUUUGAUUGUUCCUGAUGUGGGUUUUGAUCUAUUAUCACCAGGGAUUUGUUUUUAGGUGUUGAAAUCGUUGGCUUCCCCUCUUGGUAAAUGUUAGCAUUUCUUGAGCAUCUUAUGGACUGAAAUAAGACUCAUUCUGUUUGCUUAAAUGGGAUAUCAUCAGUUUAGUGUGUUUCUUUUAAGCUCUUCAUGAUUCAUGGUAUAAAUAAUUUGGUGAUUGAUGUACAUUGUGGAUCAGUCAAUUAUUGACUCCUUUGCCAUUUGUCUUUAACACUUUUGUUUAAUGAUGGAGUUUCUCAACCUUGAAGUCAUUGAAUGGACUUGCAGAAAUUGCAAUUUUUCGGUCACAAAAAAAAAUUUUUAUUUUACGGCUUCUGGUUACAAUCAGUUUAGUAAAGAGAUUUUUAAUGCUAUAUGUAGAAGGUAUUUUCAUCUUAUUAACUUCAUCUUGUAUGAAGUUUCAUUCAGGGCCUUUGCUCGAGCAAUUUGAAAGAUUGGUUCCUUUUGUGAAAAUGUUUUGGAUAAUCAUAAUCCAUUGUCUAAACUGGAAUUAUUGCUGAUCCUCCUCCAAUCUUGAUUCAGUUGGGAAAUGCUGAAAGUGUAACCUUAAAUUACUUUUAGAAUUCAGCUUCAGUUUAAUUAUAAUCUUACUUUCCCACCCCAUCUUCGUUUCACUAGAAUAUCUUGGUAGGUUUUGUAUGAUUGGGUUCUUACUUUUGUGUACUCUAUUUAGAGAUUUUGAUGAUGUGAUUGAUGGAGUCAAGCUUUAAGACAUUCAUUACCAUUUUUACUGUAUUAUGCAGGUGUUUGUUUCUUGUGACUAACUGGAGGCUCUUAGAACUUUGAAAAUAUCUGCUUCUUGUUUUUCUACCGCUGUAAUAAUAUAUGGGCUGAGGUGCACAUUUCAUGGGAGGUGUGGGAGAUGAAGAACCAGCCACAAAACGCAUGAAAUUAUCCCCUGGACAAUUGAGAGGUCUAUCCAACGGUUCAUCUAUUACAGAGCCUGUAGCUGGCUCUUCAAGAGACUUGAUGGCUCGGCCCCUAACAUCUGAAGGGGACGAAGAGGUUGUUGGUUCAAAAGGAGUUAUUAAGAGGGUGGAAUUUGUCCGACUAAUAGCAAAGGCACUAUAUUCUCUUGGCUAUAAGAAAAGUAGUGCUCAUUUGGAAGAAGAGUCUGGGAUACCGUUGCACUCUUCUGUGGUAACUCUUUUUAUGCAGCAAAUUCUGGACGGAAAUUGGGAUGGAAGUGUCGACACAUUGCAAAAAAUUGGUCUAUCAGAUGAAAACAUUACUAAAUCAGCCUCCUUUAUGAUAUUGGAGCAGAAGUUCUUUGAACUUCUAGAUGAUGAAAAAGACAUGGAUGCACUGAAGACAUUGAGGACUGAGAUUGUACCUCUCUGCAUCAAUGGUAGUAGAGUUCGUGAGCUUUCUUCCUGCAUAGUUUCGCCUUCAUUUGGUGGGACUCCUGGUAAAAACAUUGCAAGGGCCAAGUCUCGGCCAAAGUUACUGGAAGACUUGCAGAAACUGCUUCCCCCAACAGUUAUGAUACUUGAAAGACGGUUGGAACAUUUGGUUGAACAGGCCCUAGUCUUACAACGUGAUGCUUGCAUUUUUCACAACUCCUUGAACGAGGAAAUGUCUUUGUACACUGAUCAUCGAUGUGGGAGAGAUCAGAUUCCUUCUCGAACAUUACAGGUUGGUAAAAAAAAAAUUCUGAUUAAUGGUUGUAAGCUCUAAUUAGAGCUUUGUAUACUUAUUGAUUUUACUUAUUUGGUCAUAUUUCAUAUGAUGAAUGAAAAUCAUGUUCAUUAUUUGUUGUCAUAUGAGGUAUCACAUCUUAAACUGUGAAGUUGAGUAAUAACAGUGAAUGUGUCACUUUAAGGUAAGCUAAGAUUAUAGUACUCAGUCUUGGUUAUCAGGGGUUUUAUGGACCCCGUGAGAAGAGACUGGCCUUUCUGUUAGGUAAGUUAAGAUGGUUUUUCCCAGUCUUGUUCUUUUAGUCCUUCUAAUUAGUUUGACCUGAAAAAUAAACCAAGGAGUUUAUCAGAAAUUAAUUAAAGUGAGCAAGUGAUUCAAGGAGGCUGCUGUUUAUAACCCUCCACAUGUCUGUGGAGAGUUUCAAAUUCAAAAAAUAAUACUAGGGUAAGUAGUUGUUCAUCUAAGUGUAGGAUUUGUAUGGGGGAGGCAAAGUAGUACAAUUAAUUGACCAGAUUGGACAUGUGGAACUUGAUAGCCUUCUUUGGAAAAACUAGUGUUAGAUAAUAUGUUCUCAUCAGGCAAAGAGUAACCAGUGUGGUUCAGCUUACAAUUCAUAAGCCUCUAAAAUUUGAUAGAACAUGAAAUUCAAGUCUUUGUGGCAUUGUAUUGUCCUUUCGUUACUGAUAACACUUUAAAUAUCAAGGGUCCUGGUUUCUUUGCUACUUCCUGUCUUUAAAUCUUUGCUGUUAUUAUCAGCAUUGAGAAUGGUAUAUUGCCAUUUCCAAGCAUCCUUGUUAAGUGUGCUCUUGUCUGAGUUAAUGUGUGGAGGAAGAUACUGACCAAGGUCUUGCGGAGCUUAAUCUAUGUCUGAUUCCAUCAUUGUUGACUUCACUUUCUUUUUUGCUGUCUACUUUAGUGCCAUCUCUCGUAAUUUGCAUCCACUCGUUAUAUUUUCUGUGUUUUGUUAAUUUGUUAUGUCAAUGACAAUUGUCUAAUCUCUCUCUCUGGUUACUCUUUUAUUAUGUGUUUGUUGUACAUAUGCUAUUUACCUUGUCUAGAUUAACCAUUCUUACAUUUAUAAAGGGCACUUUGAAUCUGGUUUUACAUACAUAUUAGUCAGAUCUUGGUUCUAAACCUUUCUUAUCACUUUCAAUUUUACAGAUAUUACAAGCACACAGUGACGAAGUCUGGUUUCUGCAAUUUUCACACAAUGGGAAAUACUUAGCUUCAUCAUCAAGUGAUCGAUUAGCAAUCAUAUGGGAGGUAACAUCAAUACUAUGUGGAACUAUUUCUUAAUCUUGCGUAUGCUGCCCUCUUCUCCAUUUUAUAUUUUUCAUUGUUGAUGCAAUGGGUCAAAUUUGAUUUCUACCUAUGUAUCUGCGUGCAUCUAUAGAUGGGCAUCUUCAGUAUAAAUCUAUCAAUUAUUUCUGCCUCCUCUUCUUCACAUCUAAUGUUUGUAUUGCAGUUCCCAUGUUGCCCUUCCAUCUCUGUUGGCACUUUUGAUUUCUCUGUUGCUAGUUUUUCACGAGAUAUCAAAUAUAUGUUCUCAUUAUGUAGUCCCCUAAUGCAAAUUAUUUUGAAAAUGCAUGGAAUAUUUCAGCGCUAUAACUGGUUUUCAUCUUCCCCAUUCUUUUCCUGUCGUCCGGACUUUGUUUUUGUUUGUGUGUGUAUCUGCAGCCUUAGAUGACCCUUUUGGGACUAAUGGAGGUGAAAUAAUGAUUUGUAUACUCAUUUAUAGAUAUGUUGUGCAAAAGAAGAAGAAAAUUACUAGGAAUUCAUAUCAAAUAUGAUCAGUUUUCAUCAUACUUUUGGCUUAACUUGGCUGAGCUUGGCACGCAAAUCUAGGCUCAAUACCAUGUCUGAGCACAGCCCAGCCCCAGCUCAAGCCACUGGUUCUGAGCUGGCUUGGAAUACAAUCCCAUGUGCAUGCAUGGUUGACAGGUGGACCAAUAGUUACCUGUUGUUCUAUUGUUGCAACUUGCAAUACAAAUUUUUUAAAAGAAAAUAGCAGUUGGGUUGGAAUUAGAUUGGAAAGCUCUGCGUGUAAUUCUUAUUUAAUGAUAUGCAACGCUUUUUGUUUUUUUAUAUUUUGAUCCUAUUAUCCUAGAUUUUUAUACCCUGAUCAUUUUCUUGUUGGGUAUAGGUUGAUGUGAAUGGUUGUGUUUCUUUAAAGCAUAGACUAUCUGGUCACCAGAAACCUGUUUCCAUAGUUUCAUGGAGUCCUGAUGACCAUCAGCUCCUCACCUGUGGAGUGGAGGAGGUGGUCAGGCGUUGGGAUGUUUCUUCUGGUGAAUGCCUCCAUGUUUAUGAAAAACCUGGUCUUGGUCUGGUGUCCUGUGGAUGGUUUCCAGAUGGAAAAUGGAUAUUCUCUGGUGUCAGUGACAAGAGCAUCUGCAUGUGGGAGUUAGAUGGGAAGGAGCUGGAGUGCUGGAAAGGCCAACGAACUUUACGAAUCUCUGAUUUGGAGAUAACCAGUGAUGGGAAGCAAAUUAUAAGUACUUGUAGAGAUAAUGCUAUAUUACUACUUGACAGGGAAGCCAAAGUUGAGAUAUUGAUUGAAGAGGAUCAAACUAUAACUUCUUUUUCAUUAUCAAGAGAUAAUAGGUUCUUGUUGGUUAAUCUUCUGAACCAAGAAAUCCAUCUCUGGAGCAUAGAAGGUGAAAUCAAGCUUGUUGCUAAGUACAAAGGUCACAAACGCACCCGAUUUGUUAUCAGGUCUUGUUUUGGUGGACUUGAACAAGCUUUCAUCGCUAGUGGUAGUGAGGAUUCACAGGUAAAGAAUUUGGUUUCUUCCUUCUGAGGCCUCUUCUUUUUGCUUGUGUUUCUUGUGAUUAAGCAUAAGGCUUAUGUCUGGACAAAUCAUUUAGGAGGCAGAUACUCAUUUCAUAUUUAAAUAUGUUACUAGUUCCUGUAUGUUUUCUGCUGUGAUUUUUUCUGUGUGAAGGGGGUGGGGUUGCGGGAUAUAGCUCCAAUAUAUUCCCCUUUAGAUUCAACGUUGGAUAACUAGAAUGUAGUUGAUGCAGUUUCAUUAAUGACAGAUGAAACUGGCUUCUUGUUUAUUUUUUACUUUGUUACGCAUUGUUUUAAUUUAGGGUUGAACUCCUUUAGUUGCUUGCUGCCAGGGUGUGGAGGUUAACCAAAAUGGCAGACAGAGAACUUUUUAGUUUAAUACAUUGUCUUGAUAUUGUUGUGUAUCAUCCUGGACUGUCGCUGUACAGUGAGGUCAAUGUGAUAAAUGGGAUUAAGAGGACAUCACACAGAAGAAUUGGAUUCAGUACAUUUAUGCUAUUUUGCUAUUAGUUGUAAAAUGAGAAUUCGGUUGUCAUUUCCCUUUCGCUGUGCUAAUUGAUGGUUUUCUCUGUGCAGGUUUACGUAUGGCAUAGAGGCUCAGGGGAGCUCAUAGAGGCAUUGCCAGGUCAUUCUGGAGCUGUUAAUUGUGUCAGCUGGAAUCCAACAAACACACACAUGUUAGCCUCAGCCAGUGAUGACCGUACAAUUCGGAUAUGGGGCCUAAAGGAGCUAAAAGUGAAACACAGGGAUGCACACAGCAAUGGCGUCCAUUAUUGCAAUGGGGGAACUUGAAAAAGACUUGAAAAGCAAAUUGCUGGUUAUAAUUUCUCUGACCAUUGCUUUUAUGUAAAUACCUUAUCAUCGUCAAAAUCAGACAUUCAUGUCAAACAAGCAUGUGGAUUGUGCAGCAAGUAUCUAUAAUAAAUCUACUAUUUCAUUUAUAGUAUGUUCAUUCUUUUUCUUUGAAUCAAUUUUUGAACUUUUGUGCAUGAGAAAGUUGACUUGUACUUGAUAAUCCGGUUAGGACUAGUGCUUUUUUUCUUCAGGUAAAUACUUAAAUACAAGGAAAAAUGCUAUAGAGCCAACCCAAAUUGAAUGGGAUAAACUAGUGAUGCAAGUUUCCUCUCCAAUGGAGCUACGUUUGAUUUAUUUUAUUGCUUGCUUUUCAUGUGUAAAUAAGCCGGUAAACCAUGAAGCUUUGGUCAUUAGGGGCAUCCUUUAUCGAUUUGAGCAAUAGUUGACUGGUUUAUCCAAAACUGUUCUGAAGCUCUUUAGAUUCUUUUUCAUUGUAAAUGUCGCUUUGCAUCCCCAUUGGAGAUGCCCUGAGUACCUUAAAGAAUUCUCAAGGUUUUAGUUGGCUUCUGAAUAUCGCAGUAAAACCCUUCUGCUGGCUUCCCAACUUGUCAAUUCUUCCGAUCCUUUUGUUAGGAGUUUGCUUUUCCUGUAUGAUAACAGUGCUUGAAAAACCUCAAUGCUCAGAUUGAACGGAUUUUAAAGAUGCACAUAGACAAUGUUGAGGAGCAAUAAUACAAACAUAGCUUAAAGUCUGAAUUGUGCAAGCAUUAUUGUUGGACAAAACAUCUAGGAUGGUUGAAACUUUAACCAUUCAUUUGUUCUCUUUAUUGUCUUAGAAUUGGGAAACCGUAACCAGAAAAUUGGACCUCCUCUUCAACUUUGUUGGAUACAAUGCCCAAAGUCACGAGAGAGAGAGAGAGAGAGAAGAAACUCAUUUAAAGAGGGUCCUGAAUACCAUGAAAUAUUUCAAUAUGCUCAAGAGUCAAAAGGAUACUCCAACCAGUUCCUCAAUUAUAACCAAAUUAUAAAAAAGAAAGAAGAGAAAAUGAAAAAAAAAAAAAAAAAAAAAAAAAAAACUAGAGAGCUCAAGACAAUUCACAAUCUUAAGAUGAUUUACAUAUACAAACCCUCAAUAAAUUCUUAGGCAACACUGAAGGAAGAUGCAGAGCUCUCCACAAACUUCCUUGCUCCCUUGAACCACCUCUUGUCUCCAGCUUGAGCCUUACAGAUGUAAAGCUUGCCAUCUUUCACUGUGGCUGUGAUGAGCUGGUGCUUGCCACCUUCAUCUCCAUCAGCUGUCCUUGUCAACACAGACAAGUAGUAAUAGGGUUUCCCAUCAACCACUUGACUUGAAGAUUCCAAUAUGUUGGCCGUGGCCACAGCGCCGGAGUCAAAACCACCCUAUACCAAUUCAAAGUCAAAUACCAUCAGAAUUCACAUAGUUGCCACCACUAUGGAUGUUAUAUAUACGCAAGGUCAGGCAGUCGGCAUUUGCUAAAGUAACCAUGCAUUUUAUGGCUGCAGGUAAAAGCUAUCUUCUCUAUUGAGUAUUAUUAGGGUCACCAAAUUUUAUCCGUCAAAUGGUGUUCAGUAUUUCAUUUAUUCAAACCACUCAGUGCUCUGUAUUAUAUAGCAAAUUAUACCUCAGAAUCAGUCUUGCCAAAGUAGGCUUGUUUGCCUAGCAAAUAGUCCACCUACAAAAAGCAACAUAUAUCAAAACUAAAUUGUUAGUAAUUGGCAGUAUUUAAAUGAUGAAGGAAAUGAAAACAUAUAUAUAUAUAUAUUGCAUUGUCAAUGGAAAGAAGGAGAAGCUAUCACACCUUGGUGAGGAAUUCCUCAGGGGAGCCAUAGUCGGUGAUAGAUUUCUUAUCGGUCGGGGUGAUUGUGACAGCCACGUUGCUGGUGGUGUCAAAGUUGUCCUCAUAUCUCAGAACUUGACCAGGGUAUUCAACCUCUUUGCUUGGGUUCCAUUUUGCAGGAAUCGAAAGCUUGAAUCCUUCUCCAACGUAUGGCAAGAAGUCUGUGUUUGUCUUUGGCUUUCCAAAAACGUUGGCUGCAUAUGCAUUUAAUCAGAAUUUAAGUUCAAUUUGGUCGAGGAAAAGAAUAAAUAUAUUAUACAUGGAUCGUUUGUCAAACUGUCAAUUUUUUACCAUAUUUCAUAAAUUUGUAUGUUAUGUUGCGAGACUGUCAAUACUAAAUAAUUAUUCAUAUUGAGACUGUUCGGCAUGAGAACAUUUCUUACCGGAUUCACCAUAAGCUGCAUCAGCAGGGGAAACCUUGGAGCCAAGGGCUGCAGCUCCAAUGAGGACUGUGAGAGCCAAUCGCCGGGAGACGUUAACGGCACCAUCUUCUUCCUGGACAGCCUGCUUCUGAGCCCUGCAGAUCACAAUCUGGUUCUGCUUGACAUUCACCACUUGGCGCUGUGAUGAGGAGGACCUGGCAGAAGCUGUAGUGAGUGCAUGGUGGUGCAAAAAGCAUGCAGUUGAGGCCAUUUCCUUUCACUCACUCUCUUUGUGAUUCUUGUCUGUGUAUAGAGUGAAGUGGGAUUGGUUUUGUGGAAGUUGAGUUGUGGUGCUGAGGAAAAUUGGCUUUGGAUGUGUGUUGUUUGUUUGUGUGAUAUCUGAAGGCAAAUGGUUGGUUAAUUUUUUGGAUAUUGGAUCAGGGAAGUGGAUGAUGGGAAGAUUAGAUUUUGAUGUGGGAUAAGGCUGUAGGGGCGCUCAUUGGUACCACGUGGCAUUGUUCACAUGCUGCUUUUUGUACAUUUUUUAUUUCUCAGUCAUAUGUAUUUGGCAGCUGGACCCUUUGUUUGGUCAUAUGUAUAGGCCCAUUUGAGAGCUGGGCCUACAUAGUUAUGGGCUUCCUUUGAAGUAGAAUAGUUCAAUUGCUGAAAAAUAUGUGGACAUUAAUUUAUGACCUAACAUUUGUCCUCAAACUUUAUGUGGGUAGGUUAUAUUUAACAUUUGUUUCAUAAUAUUCACGUGAAUCGCAUUGUCGUGCAGUAUGUUUCUAGGAUAAUGAUAUAUAACCGACGCAUACAAUAAUUUUCUCAACUCAUAAUUAUCUAGAAUAAUGAUAUAUAACGACGCAUAUAAUAAUUUUCUCAACUCGUAAGUAUCGACACCAAAACCAGAAAUUUCUAUCUACCCUAACAUCACUCAUCUCAUGCUGCUUGAAUUAAGGCUCAUAUAGAAUUCAAUAAUGUAUUUCUAGGAAUACAAAUUAAGUGAGUGAUGAUAACAAUUCAUCAUACAAUUUACAUUUGCAAUUCCAUUUCAAUGGAGUGACUUAUACAAUGGACACAUACAAUAUAUAUGAAGAAUUGGGAAAAUAUAAUCCAUUGUCUAAGCCAAGAUAUUAUGCAGGUAGGGCUUUAAUGUGUUCUUAUAUUAUAUAUACACCAACCCUCUCAAUAAAUGAUUUUUUUAAGGAUUUUUCUUAUUGAGAGGGACGAUUAUAUACUAAAUUUACACACACUACACGAAUGCUAAGAUUCGAAUCCAAAAUCUUUCCUGAAGAAGGGAGCAAUUGCUCCAAACCACUAUAUUAGUGAUCACUUUGUAAUAUAUAUAAUAGAAUGUUAAAACACAUGUGAAAAUGCAUUGAUGUUUUAAUUUGUUAGUUGCAUGCUACCUACCUACAAGAUAAUUGCAUUAAAUUUAUUUAUCUGUAUGAAAAUGUUGAAGGCCUUGAUUUUUAAGCUCCAACAUUGCUUAAUUGGUCAGUCAAAAUACUUCUUUAUUUUUCCUUGACCAGCUCAUAGUACUAGGAAGUCAUUUAGAUUUUGUAUGCUUAGCAAGUAAGUAUUGAUAAUUUUAUCCAAAAAAGGAAAAAAAACAGAACCAACCAGUAGAAAUUAGAAUGAUAUAGUUUGCCAACUGCAAGUCCACACAAGUAACGGGCAUCUGGCGGGCGUUGGACUGCGCUUGUAUAAAAAGAAAACAAAGAUUCCUGUCCUGCACGCCUUUUCCAUUUCUAUCAACUUGUACUGGAACUUCCAUGCUUUCCCCGCACUGCCAUCAUAAUUCAUAAGCUCCUACAAGGAAAACCCAUCAUCUUCUGCUUCUUCAUUUUGCUCCAAUCUCCUCUGAUCAGGUAACCCAUCUUUCAUUUGGCUCUGGUUUCUGCUCCUCUGCAUCUUAUUACUCUUUCUCCAUCUUCUUUUUAUGUUGCGCUUAAAUUUUGUAACUUGCUGUAAUUUUUUUUCUUCAUGGAAUUUGAUGUUAUGAAUUGUACAAAUGGAGUUGAAAAUAUUGUUUUUUCAUAGUUUCUUCUCUUUUUUCCUGAAGUGACUUUGUUAGAGGGCAGUUGAUUUUAGUUCAUAUGUGAAAUAAAAUUUCUGGGUCAUUGAAAUUUUGGUAGAGUUCUGGUGUGUUUGAGUAUUGUGAAUUGGAACUCUUUCUUCUGUGCUUGCCUUGAUUUUGAAUAUCCCAAUAUUUAUAUCUUGGUGGUGUUGGAUGGUGGGGCUGAGUCUUUGGUUGAGAUACUAAAGUAUCUUUACAGGAUAGAUAGAGCUGCUUUAAUCUUCAGAUUGGGAUACUGGAAGGGCAAAACUUUUCAUCUGUGAAGUGUUUUUGUAGGAUCUGCAGUGUAAUGUUUUAAAUUUCUGUAUAUUCUUUUCCUAGUUAGCUUGGAGUAUCUUUUAGGAAAUCUUCCGCGGCUUGCCUUUUCUUGGCAUAAAAGUGUGGGUCACAGGGCCAAUGAGAAAUUGGUUAUUUAGCACUCUGAUGUGUUCUAAGUGACAAGGACUGCCUUGUGCCUCCAUGGUAAUUAAUAUAAGUUGGAGACAUGGAGGUUAGCAACCACAAAUUUUUAUCUUCUAUUGAGGCAGCAGUUAUGUUAGAGCUAGUGGGUAUGAAAGCUGUUAUUCCUGUUUGUUCUUAGUUGUUUCUGUUGAGGCAGCAAUCAUGUUUUGUUGUGUCGAUGUGAUUUGCAAUAUACUGUGUUUUAUUUCAUCUUGUAUUAUCUUUAACUCUUAAUUUGAGGGGCUUUUUGUACUCCUCCGUUCUCUUUUAUACUUUCGCUUGGUGGUUUCAAGAUUUAACCUAUAAUUCAAAGAAAAGAAAUUUUUUGGAAGAAAAAUGCUGAUGCUACUUGUGGUUGUGUGACCUUUCAAAUUUGCUUUUGCAAUAAUUUUUCUUUUUUUGAAUCAUCUUCAUUCCUGUGGUCUACAGUUUUGGGGAAUGAGUCUUGAUGGCUGAGAGAACCUGGUUAGAUUAGAGCAAUUACUAGGAAGUCUGUUCAUAUGAUGUACUCAUUCUCUGCUUCUAUUAUGGGUUUAUAAAGGUUGAAUAAUGCACAUGCACAGAUCUUUUUGCGUUAAUCAUGUAUAACCCAAAUUGACCAUAUGGAUAAGCAAUUUCCUUGUAUCUGAGGCUUCAAAGUACAAUGUUUUACAAUAAGUGGCUUGAAGGGAAAAAAGAAUUGAUAUGUCCUUGCUUCCAAUUAAUUAAUCUCAUUUAGUGUUGUUAUGGUCCCUACUAAGUCUUUUGCAUCUCCCAUGUGUGUAUGUUUCCUAUAAACAUUUCCUGUAUUGAAGCAAGCUUUCAGUGUAUUAUAGUUUCUGCCAUGACCAGAGUUUUGUUCUUGAAGUAUAGGAACAAUGCCUGAGAAAAUAACUCCUGAGGAUCUUUUGAACAACAUUGUGGGAACAUUUGCUGAAAGUAGUUCAAAACAGAAAUCUGUGCCACUUUUUGGGGAAGAGACAUCAAACUCAGUCACUUCUAAGUUGAACCGGCUAUUUGGACGCCAGAAGCCUGUCCACCACCUUUUGGGUGGAGGCAAAUGUAGGAUCAUUAUGUUCCAAUACAUGCUUGAGCAUUUUUUUAUGCAAUUAGAAGUUGUUGCUUCCGCUAAUUCUCCUUGCAUUGUUUCUCUUUUUAUGCCUGAACUAUGUAGCUGCUGAUGUCUUGUUGUGGAGGAACAAAAAGAUAUCAGCUAGUGUUUUAACUGGUGCAACUGUUACCUGGGUGCUCUUUGAAUGGCUCAAUUAUCAUUUCUUGACUCUUGUGGGCUUUGCUUUGGUUCUUCUUAUGCUUGCUCAGUUCCUUUGGUCAAAUUUUUCCGGCAUAAUUAGCAGGUGACGUCAACAUGCUCAGUUUUGAGCUUCUAUUUUGCUUGGUUGGGUGAUGUUGUGUACAGUAUAGCUGAAUGUUGUGAUCUGAGUAUUGUGUUCUCCAUGGUGGCAGGUCCCCAUCUGAAGUACCUCGCCUUGUUGUGCCUGAUCAAUUAUUUGUCAAUAUUGCCAUCUCGAUUGGUCAUGAAAUUAAUCGAGCCUUGGAAUUUAUUCAAGAUGUUGCACUUGGAGGAAAUUUGAAGCAAUUUCUUAUGGUAUGUUUGGAUGAUUAUAUUCUUUUCAUACAUAUGAUUGUAUAUAUCAUAUACAAAGGUGAUCUGAUUAAGAUCCAUGUGAGGAACUGGAAGACUUGUGCGUCGGCUGUUAGAUUAGAUAUGAAUGACCAGAAUAGAACUAAUCCACCCUCACUCACUAUGCAUCUCAACCAUCUAAAUUUUACCUAAAGACUGAUAUGCAAGUCCUCAAUUUAAUUUCUAGAACAUCACCAUAUCUAUGUUAUGAAAAGCACUUUCUUGGCUUGGCUUUCACUGGUUUCUUGAUAUUAGCAGUAAAUGCAUUUUAGGCCUCAAAACCCCAUGCUAUCAUGCUUUUAGUUAACAUGACGAUUGUAAUGAACUGUUGAGAUAUUAUCUCAGGUUGUAGCAAGCUUGUGGGUUGCUGCAGUGAUAGGAAGCUGGUGUAAUUUUCUGACCGUUUUGUACAUUGGUGAGAGAUCCAACCACUAAUAAUAUCGAGUCUCUUAUGAACUUAUGAUCUGAUGACCAUGUGUUCUGUUGAUGGUAUGGUUAAAGUUUGGGAUAACCAUGAAUAUUAUUGGAGAGAAUUUGAUUGUUGUCAGAAGUUUGAAUAUUGUUACUUCAGCUGCAUAAUAAAAUAUGAGUUGUCUUUCAGUAUUUUGCACUUGAUGCUUCACUUGCUCUACAUGGAAUUGAAACAUAAGUUCCUGUUAGUAGUAAGUAGUAUCCUUAGCCGUAGUGGUGGAAAAUUAAGCUCUCUCUCUCUCUCUCUCUCUCUCUCAGAAACCUGUGGCUUCUGAGGUAAACUCAUGCUUCUAGUCUCAUUUCAGUUUAAAGAUGAUAUUUGAUGAAGUAUGUAAUUCCUUCCUUUUGGAUUUUAUCACUGGAAUUUGUUUAUUACUAGUGAAGAGUAUACAUAUACUGUAAUAUUCAUGAAUGCUGUAUCUUAAAAAAGAAAAGAAAAAGAAAAUAUGAUUACCUCGUUGAAUUUGGAAGCGGUUUAGAACUGCCAUCAACUUAGGAUCAUGGUGCCUUUCUUGCUGAGGGUAAUUAUAGAGUUCUUUUAUUAUUCAUGAUUUAUCUAUCUGAUUGAGCUAGACAUGCUUAUAAGAGUUAUAUGAAGCUUACUGAUAAUCCGUCUUUGCUUUUAUGGUACAUAAUAUGGUUUUUAUUAAUAAUAUUGUUAUCCUGGUAUAUAUGGAAGAGAAUUGAUAUAGGUCGUUGUUUCUUAGGUUUUGUUGCUGCUCACACAUUGCCAGUUCUGUACGAGAGAUACGAAGAUCAGGUCGACAACUUUGCAUACCAGGUCCUUGGGCAGCUUCAACAUAAUUAUCGGAAGCUCGAUACCGGUGUCCUCAGCAGGAUCCCAAAAGGAAAGGUCAAUUGGAAGAAGCAUGAUUAGAUACGUUUAGCAACAUAAAUAAUGUUUAGCCAUCUCUGCAGUUGAUUGGAAAAUAGCAUGUUCCAGCAGAGGGAAAACAAGGGGUGAAAAAACAAUUAAGUAUUAUUGUUUAUAGGGUCAGAAACUGGACAGUUGUGAUUAUUCCAUGUUAGUAAAACCGUUCAGUUAUUGUGAAGGUUCAAAUUCAUCUUCCAUUUGAUCAAUUCUCGUUUUGAGAAGUAACCAUUGCAGAAUUAGCAUUAGCUUAAACCAAAACCAAGAGGUUAAAACCACAUGCAAGGAUCAGUUGGGUUGAAACCAUGUCAACUGGUUUCAACUUUCAUUUUCAUGGAAAGAAGAACGGGGCAUCUGGCUUUCUUUAUUGAAAAUCAGGACCACAUCAUAGUUGGUGUGUAUUUUACCAUUACCCUGAUGAGGAAAUCUUGGGUAGUUUAUGUAAAUGAGUCGUAUAAUACAUCACGGCUGAGAGUCACCCACACAUGUUAGUAUAUUUCUGUCUUUCCCUGAAAACAUUAUAACAUCCGUUACUCUAGUACUAGUGCAGUCUGAGUAACGCCAAUACUACCACAGGCACAGGCACUUUUAAUCCUUCACCCCUAUUGUUACUUUUGUUUUGCCAACGUCUAACAGUUGUGUAAAAACAGGGUUUAAGUUAGAAUUUUGAGAUUUCAAUUACUUGUGGCUACACUACUACAAUAAAGUUAAUAGACAACGGGUUUUAGCUGGUGUUGAAAGUCUUCUAAAAUCGUUGAGGUUGGGAGUUUUCUACCUAUUAAUGACAACGGUAAAAAACCAUUGUAAUAUGUCACUUUCAACAACUGUUUUUCUAAAACCGUUGUCAAUUCUCAUAUAUAAAACGGUAUACAAGAGCGACCGUUGCAAUAUGACCCUUUCAAUAAUGGUUUUGCUCAAUAACCGUUGUAGUAUUAUGCUUACUGUUCAAACUAACCGUUAUAAAAUUGAACUUUCACAAGAGUUUCUCUGUCUAUGGUCGUGGUGAAGGCAAGGCUAUGAGGUGGGAAGAACAAGACUGUGGAGAGAGGUAGACGCGAGAGACAAGAGAUAGAAGAGAGAACUAUCGGGGCUUAAGAAAAAAUAUUAAAUCACUGUUCACUCCGUGUUUUUUUUUUUUUAAAAAAAAAGCUUCAAUUACAACGGUUCAAACAAAAAUCGUUGUGGAAAGUUGUAAAAUAAAAUUAGAAAAUCACACCCUAAACCACAACGCUUAAAAACCCCUUUUGACAACGAUGACGUAAUAACCAUUGUAGAAGAAACAAUUACAAUGAUUUCGGAGCCAACCAUUGUGUAUUCAACGUCGUCUUUUUGAAUAUUUGUAGUAGUGCUAGUAAUAUGUAACUAUAAGUAAAGUUGAAAAUUUAAAGAACAAAAGAUGAUGAAGAAGUAAUUGGUUAAUUAACAAGCUUAUACUGAUUCUCGAUCGAUGAAAAGGUUGUGGACCUAUUGGUACAAUGAAAGAAAACAAGAAAAAGCUAGCUAGACGGCCUGUAGAGAGGUAUAGCUCUAAACAGUAAAGCUGUAAAGAUAUCAUUACAAGGUCCAGAAAAUUAUGGGAGAAUUUUCCACGUUGUUUGUCCUACUUUCAGAUCAGUAAGAGAUCUCAGACAUGCACAUAUAGCUAGUAAUGUUUUUGUUUAUAAUAUUUUGCUGGAAUUUUUUUUUAGUACAAACGAUUAGGGGAAAUGAACUUAUACAAAUAUUUAUUAGAUGUGUGUAGGUUUUAAAUCUUUGUUCAUAUGAGUGGAGAUAGAAAAACUCAACCAAUUACGCUAUAACCCGCUGAGAAUUUUGCUGGAUAUUUACAUAUGUGAGAUUUGAGAACCUUAAGGGCAUGUUUGGCAGGCUGGACUAAUCUGGACAGUGUUAAAUAACAUUUUAAAACCCACGUUUGGUGAAAGAGGGACUAACAUAAAUAGGAUUGUAUAGUCCACUGAUGAAAAAAUCACCGGACUCGCUCGUCCAAUACUGCGAGGAUGAAAAGCAGUUCGCAAAAUAGCGAGCGUGCUAUUUUGAAACAUCGAGUUCAACCCACACAGCGACCUUCAUGAGCUGCUCCUGGUUGAUGAGGAUCCUCCUCGUUCAUGUCGGGCAAGAUGGCGGUGAGUAGAUCCUCGAAUUCGAUGGUGCCGUUUCCGUUAGCAACAAGGAUGUGGAGCUAGUCGCCGGUGGGCUUGAGGUUGGGAAAGACCUCCAUACCUGCCGAUCUGAGUACAGAAAUGCUUGUGUAAGAAAAUGGGUCGACUAUUCCACUGAUUGCGAUGAUACCAAUCCCUCAUAUCCCUUUUAUGAUUUUGAGAAGAAGGAAUUACAAAAACAAAGCAAGCAGGGACCUUAUUAUGGUUACUGGAUUCGCAGGGUAUGCUACCAGGAAGAAGGAAGGGAUCAAAAAGAUCCCAAUUGUGUUUUGGUAUUUUUUUAAUUUUAAUUUUGUGGUGUGGUUUGUCAAAAGUUGUGGUGUGGGGUUAGUUGGGUUUAUUCUAAUUUUCUCUUUGGAAAUCUGGAAAGAAAGACACAGCCAGAGAGAGAGGAAGACAGACGGGAAAGAAAGGCAGAAGGAGAGGGAGGAAGGAAGAAGGAAAGAACGAGAUAAUGGUUUUUUUAUUUUUUAAAUAAAAAAUUAAUUUAAAAAAAAAUUCACACAUCAACCCCAAUUAAAUAUCCCUAAUUAAAUAUAAAUAUUUUUUAAGUCAAAAUAUUCAAUUAAAUUUAAAUAUUACAAGAAUUAUUUUUUAGUCCGACACAGCACCAAACAUAGGUCUUCACUAUUUUACAAUCUAGCUUCUUAGUCCGACACAGCACCAAACGUAGGUCAGUACUUAAUCCAGCUUAGUCCAAUCCGAAUUAAUCCAAGACAGUCUUAGGAUUUAAUCCAGUUCAUGACAGUCCGUCGUACCAAACGACCCCUAAGUACUAGAGUCAGUCGAAUAUUUGUGAGGUAACCAUGUGGUCAACUGGUCAUCACUUUUUUGUUUCUUUCUGGAGUCAGUCGAAUAUUUGUGAGGUAACCAUGUGGUCAACUGGUCACCACUUUUUUGUUUGUUUCUCUGACAUGUGCGAUUUGGUGAAGAUAUGUUAGAUGGCAAACACAAACCAGAUCUUAUAUUUUUGUAUUUGGAACAUCGACAAAAUAAUUAACAAGCGACAGCCUGCAGCCAGUAUGAGCAGUGACUCUAUAUCAUGUGGGAUUCUCAGUAAGGCGCGGAUCCAAAUCUAACACAGUACUUUCACAUGAUGUUCAAGUACAUAUUGUUUGCUUCUGCUGAUUAAAUAGUCGAGUUGAAGUCGGCAAUUAGCAAGUGGUAUUGUGUAUAUUUCUCUAAUCAUUAAUCUAUAUAUAGACCAAAAUGAAAAAACAACUAUACUUUAUUUUUAAACUCUUUGUAUUAAUUAUAACUUGGGCGAAUCUGUAUCGACAUCAAUAUCGAACCAUCAAUAGCAUGAUAAAUAAUCGACAUAACGUGUCGAUAUGAAUCCCACCUCAGCUAAAUCAUGAGUGCAGAGCAUAUGCACAAAUAAUUAAUUAGAGCUAGACUUCCUAAAUCAUGCAUGAACAUGUUUAAUUAACAGUGAUUGGCCUGCAGGUUUCACAAAACAUCUGUGGCUAUAGAAUGAAGUACGUUGCAUCUAUAAAAGUCGUAUGUGUAUUUUCAAGGCGAUAUCGAUUGCAUGGAUGGUUGUGAAUAAAAGAGGACCAAAAAUAUCAAGAUAUACAUACACCUGCAUAUAUAUAUAUAUAUAUAUAGAAAUGUAUAUAUAAUAUCUAGAGCCACCUGUGUGUGUGGAGUGGACAUGAGGAGAGAGCUCGAGAGAGCGUGCAUGGACUGCUGAUUCCAUGCUUGGAAUGUGCAAUGCAGCCACCUUCCAUGAGUUUAGCUCACGUAGCGGGCCCUCACCUGCCUUUUAGCACAAAUGUGUGGAGCUACCUUAUUAUAUAUAUAUAUAUAUAUCACCUCCCUUUCUCUCCUUUUCACUCAUUAUACAUACAAGAUUCUCUCUGAAUAAUCUCUGCCUUCUCAUAAUCCUCAAGAGGCAUGUAACAUGUAUAUAAUACACACAGAUAUCUUCUUUGAAUGUUUAUUUUCCAAAGGGAAAAGAACAAGUUUUGGAAUAAUUACAAGUUGAGAACUGUCAUUAGAUGAUACGUAUAUAUAAUCUUAAUUACUCAGAGGUUAAUUAGAAGUUUAGAACCUACCUAUAGAGGGCAGGGAAACGUUUGAAAGAUUGAUGUAUAUACGGCGAUAUAUUCGUGUCUGCAAACCAUGUAUGUCUGAAAGACGUAUAUUUAUGUCUGCAGACGCAUGUAUAUAUACCUACAUGUCAUCAGCUACUACCUCUUCUGUGCAUGUACAGCACCAUAGACAUGUAUGGGACAUCAAUUAAAAGCUAAUCUCUUUUAGAAUCGAACAUGGCUUGGACACACACCUUCACACACACACACACACACAUAUCUGUUUCUGUUUAUUUUUCCAUACAUAUAUAUGAAUUAUGAUUCAAACACACAAAAUAUUAUGUUGUGAAAUAUUGAAAUCCACAUUUUGAAAGGGUUCCAAACUAGAAGAAAACUUAGCAAUUGCCUUUUUCUUUUUUAUGCAUGUAUAUAUGUAUAUUAUUGGUAUUAACCCUUAAAACUAGAGAUUGCUCGGUUCAUAUCUUUUAUGCAAUGAUGAUACCAAAACUUGAAUUUGGUGUAUUAUAAAGUAGUGAUGUUUAACAAAUACAUUAUACUUAUGCAUAUACACACACACACAUAUGUAUAUCUAUCUAUAUAUACGUACACAGAUGCAUAUAUGUAGUCGACGAUACAUUUUCGUAGAUAUCUACAAUAUCAAUCCGCAUAUCCACAAUCCUUAAAGACAUGAUAUCUUAUGAUGUGAAGCUGAGAAUCUCUCCUACGCAGGGGCGGAGCUAGAAUUGUAAGAUUGAGGGGGUCGAGAUAGAAAACACAAGUAUAUCAAAUACAUACAAGUGUUCAAAACGCAUGUUAGAACUAAAUUUUUCAAAAUUAGUCAUGUCUAAUUAUUUUUAAAGGGGCCAUUAAUUAAAAUUACAAGUUGUCUAUUAGUAAGUUGUAAGGGAUCAAAAAAAUGGAGGGCUCAGGGCCACUCCUGGCCUAGGAGUGGCUCCUCCACUGCUCCUGCGUCUUAUCUUUAUGAGUCUAUAAAGAGGGGAAGGACUUGAGUUUCAUGAAUUAAAAACCACUAAUUGAUUUCUCAAAUAUACAGGUAUAUCGAUCUUUCGCUCAUUUCUGUUCCCAAAUGGUGAUUUUUACCAGCAAGAAACCUGGCUUUUCCAAGUUGGUUAUGAAUGAGGACCAAGUCCCAACUCUCUCUCUUUAUACAGAAAAUGAUGGGGACGACGAUGAUGACGACGAUGAUGGAGGAGAUGUGGCGCCAGCAGCAUAGUUAUCAUAGAUUCAUAGUGUUUAUGAAUAAGAGUGGCUUAAGCUUUGAUACUUUCAUCAACUUGAGCUGAACAGAACAUUUGGCAAUAUAUAUAUAUAUAUAUAUAUUGUAAAGAAUCAGCUGCAUGUUAUAAAUUUAUAUUCAUAGGGCAACUAUUUUGUAGCAUACCAUAAUAUUAGGUGUAUGCAUGCAAUUUAAAUAAGCAAAAGAUACCUCCGGUGUGCUUAUACAGUCAUACGCACCAGAGCCAUCUGAGAAAAAAGAAGAAGAAGAAGAAGAAGAAGAGGAGGAAGAAUUCAGGUGUCUAUGUUUUACGACUUUUGGUUGUCUGGGGUGCUCUUCCCCUUAUAUCAUCCUCAUCAUGAGUUGGACAGCUUCUUUUUAUUUUGCAAAGGGCCAGAAAGAGAAAAAUAUUACUUGUAUAUGAUUACUGAGAUCAUGUAUGGCAGCAUGCUGCAAUAUUAAAUUUUAAUAAUAAUUAGUGAUAUCUACUUAUUCGGAGUACGUAAUAUCAAUCUCUCUCUCUCUCUAUUAAUUAUGUCUAUCUCCCCGUAAGUCCAUCCAUUAAUAUAUCAUGGCAACUGAAGAACAUGGAUCUUUUAAAGGAUUUCUUUAUAGAGUUAAUUAUCUUCUUGAUCAUUUCAAUUUCCCCCUUUCAGUUUUGUAUUAUGCUCAAGCAUGGAUUUAUGUUAAUUCAUUUUCCAUUACUAUAGCUGAGCAUAAAAUCCGUGAACUGAGUUUAGAAAAUGUAAGUACUGUGUUUUUUUCCUUCUUAAUUAUAUUUGGUUAUCUUGUCUGCUAGGGUUUUUCUGAUUUCUUGGGUUUAUUUUUCUUGAAAUAGUUUGAAAUAUGUGAGGUUUGGUGCUUGAUAGAUUCAGGUUCACUUGUUUUGCAGCGAACGUCAUUCGCUACCUUUCGUUACAUUAAGUUCAUUUUGAAAUUUGAGACAAAUAAGGUAUUGAUUUGUGGAGAACUGCUGAAAUUUUAAUUUGAGGGUUGUGAAUCUGUGAUCAUAACUUCAGCUUGGAGAACAAUGGCUAGAGGAGCUUCGGUACGUUUAUUGCUUUAUACAAAGUUGCCAUAUAGGCUAGCUGGGAAUAUUGAAAACAAGUUGAAGAAAGUGCUUUCCUUGCUUUACUUUUGUCCGCAUCAAAAGGGUAAUUAAAUUUUCUUCCUUUUAUGACUGCAUAGCUGCAUAGUUGCAUAGCCUUGUCCUUUUUCAUGUAUUCUGAAAUUCGUUGAAUGUAUGUAUACUUUGUGUUUGGUACACUUUGUACUAAUAAUAUGCUAAGGCGCAGCUUGUUAUGCUUGUUCUUUUCAACUAUUCUGUGAGCCCGAUAAAUAAUAGUUCAUUAUUUGUUGCUUCACUUUGCCAAUAUUGCUUGAGGUGAGUUACCUCAAGCAAGAGCAUGAUCUUGGACUGCAAAUUUUCAUGGUUAUUAAGUUUGUAGGUCAUUUUAGAGCAUUAAAUCGACAUAAAAAGAUCUAAAUUUCUGUUAUGUGAAGAUUCAUGCGAUAGGAUUAGUGAGCUGCCAAGAAAUACUAUUGUCAUUCAGGUAUUUGGGUUGGAUUGCUCCUUGUUCUUGUUGUCUUUUGCACUUUACAGUAAUUUGAGAACAUUUUUAUCUUCUAUGCAGGCUCAGAAAGCAGAGAGGGAUGCUACAGAUUUAUAAACUUAGAGUUUGGUGAAAAGGUAAAACAUGAAUUGAAGUUUUAAUUGUAGUUUAUGUGACUUCAAAGUUGAUGAAAUAAUAUAUUGGUCUAUUAUCUCUCGUCUUUUGCAGUGGGAGAAGGGAAAUAGCACAUACACCCAACAACAACUUGAUGAACUGAGAAAUGAAUGGGUAGAAUUUGUGAGUCAUCGCAUGUACUAGCUAUAUAUGUAGUUACCUAGUCACUAUUUUGUGAAUUUUGGCUAUAAAUAGUUAGCCCUAGUCACUAUUUUGUGAAUUUUGGCUAUCGAUAGUUAGCCUACCUAUAUGUAGUCAUCAUGGAGUAACACUAUAUGUUGUAUAAAUGUGGUAGGGUUUUGAACUAUGACAGAAUUGUUAAAGUAAGAUGUAUCUUAAGCUUUUAUGAAAAAUGCAGGUUUUUGAGUAUGAAUAGUCCAUUUGGACCUCAAUAUCCAGGUUGUAUGUAAACAUGGGUGGGUUUCUUGUUCCACAGAGGUAUAAAAUCAUCUUCCCAAUAUGCAAAUCCAAAAUAAAACUACGAUUUACCUUAAAAUAGCAACGUAGAAAUAAGUGUAAGUAGAAAUAAGGAUGACACGUCAAAUUUAUUUUUAAAAUAUAGACGUAGUAAGUCUAGAACUACGUCCAUUUUUAUUAUCAAUUUGACAUUGUAAGAUUCAUACUACGUCUACGACACAUACCACAUCGCUUCUCAAGUAAUACUUGACGUAGCUGUUAUUCAAAAACGUCUAUUUUAUUUUAAAAAAGUGACGUGGGAUAAUACUUCCUAUGACGCUUUUUAAGAUAUAGGGACAUAGAAUGUUGUUUUAAGCAUCGAUUUUUCUUCUAAUGGAACUCGAACGAAGUUGCCUUUGGACAAAAAACGACGUGGAUUAAUAUAUUGCACGGUGGUGAAUCACCGUCGUGGUUAAGGUUUUUAAACCAUGUCGGUAGAGUAGACAUUGCUUUUUCACCUUGAACCACGACGGUUUUCCACCGUCAUUGUUUUCAAUUUUUGGCAUAGUGUAUAUUGCCUCGAUCGUCAUCGUAUCGAUUAGUAACACCAAAAAUACAUCAAGAACUUAUAGGAGAAUAUUAACCUAGCUAUAUUUCAGAGUCAGAAGAUAAUCUAAUUGCUUUUGUUGUUAUAUGCCCUUUUCUUUCACAUAUAACAACUAGCUAAGGCAAUAUCUAAUAUUUAUGAGACUUGCUAUAAUCCUAUCAUCAUGCUCUAACAGAAUCUAAGUUUAUUUUUUUUUUUCUCAUGAAACUUACAAAAGCUUGAGAUCUCUAAACACACCAUUCCACCUAAUCCAUCUCAUACAAUUUGAACAAAAGUAUAUGUGGGUUGAUUAACCAUAUAUAGUCAUAUAAUAAGAAUAUAUGCAUGCAUAAAAAAGAAGUGUCAAUAGGAAUGUAAAAAAAAAAUUUGAUGACUAGCUAGGAUUGUAUUGGAUUGGAAAAGUCAUUAAUCUAAGAUAUGUUGUUAAAGGAGGAAAUGAAGGUCGGUGAAUGAUUUUUCAUUUUGGGGGCGAUUAGGAAGGAUAAUUUAUAAAAUGUUGCUAUCCUACCAUUUUGUGGGGAUUAUGGGAUAAGUUUUCUUCAUUUUUUUUAAAUUUUUUUUUAGGACCUUUCCUAUUGAAAGGGACGAUAAUUAACAUAUUAAACUUACACACACUACAUGGAUGUUAGGACUCGAACCCAAGACCUUUUUUGUGAUCCAAACCACUACUAGUGGGUCCUUUACAAAUAAGUUUUCUUCAUGAGUAAUCUAUUUUUUACCUUCAACAUGACCAUGGGUUUUUCAUUUCUUCCUAUAAGACCAUCCACAAUGGUAAGGUGUAUAUUGAGGUGUAUGUCAAAUAUACACAUUUGGUUGCCGGAAUGUCCUGCAAUGGGGAGGUAUAUAUGGCUAUAAAUGUACAUCACAACCAUGAGAUGAGAAAAAAAGAUACAAAAAUGUACAUCUAAUUUUACACCCAGCCAAGUUGGUCCCGUAACAUAAAAGCCAAGAGAGAAGAGAGAGGAAAGCUAAAAGAUGGGGAAGUUAUUAAAAUGGUAGGCUCAUGGCGUGGAAGUUCUUCUCCAACAAAUCUCUAAUAUAUGGCCAUAUUUCAUUCAAAUUGAAAUAUGAAACUAAUAAUUGCACUGAUCAAUGGUGAAGAAUAAAUUCAUAUCAAAACUGACGAUUCAUAUUAAUUUUAUUUACAUCAUAUUGAAUGAAAUUAUAUCUUAUCAGAAUUUUAAAAUUUUUAAGUCGAUUUGUUCAGAAAAAAUAAUUAAACCUAACACACACAAAAUUAACCCCAAAAUAUUAACAUUAAAAAAAAAUUUGACACAAAAAUUGAAUUAAUACAAGAAAAUCGGAUUUACAUCUUUGAAUCUGCAUCCAACUCAUUGGAGCAAAAAUGAUAUUUGCAUCUCCUGAAGGUGUAAAGGAGAUGUAAAAGUGGCUUUACACCUCCCCAUUGUAGAUGCUCUAACAUACUUAAAAUAUAGGAAGUUAUCAUAUCCAACCCUCGCUAGACAUCAAAUGAGCCCAAAAUUUCACCCAAAAAGAAAUUGGUAUACAUAUAUAUAGUGAUUUCCAAAGAAAAAUUUGAAUACGUUGGGUUCAAUCUCCAAAAUACAAACCACAAUGAAUAUUUUAGAAAAAGGGGUACGUAAUAUCCAGCGUGGCAGACGAGCUGGAGGUGACAGUGGAGCCUGAGAGCGUGCAUGGACUGUUGAUCCCACAUACCGAAUGCGCAGCGCAGGCACUUGCCAUGAGCCUAGCAUACGUCGACAGACCUACAUCCCACUAGGAAAAACGUAUGGAGGGCAGCCCUGCCAUGUCAUCGCUCCCUCCUGUUAGCGCCAAAUUUCGUUGCCCUUUUCAUGUCAACGUGUCCAAUAUCAAGAUCUCAAACAAAUUACAGAGAUCGCAGAAGAAAGCAACAUGUCUGUUGGAAAGGAUAUGGAAUAAGAAUUUGCAUAUGCCAAUAUGAUGAUAUUAUCCCUUUCCCUAUUAUAAAUAUGCAGACAUGUACUGGUGCAGUCUGCAACUAGCUUCCGCAUACACACUGCAUGCUUAUUUAAUUUCUUUGGUCAAUUUCUUAGGUAAGCAGGUCCUUUUUCUUUUUCUUUUUUCUAUAUAAACCCUAUUUUAUAUAUGUCAGUUGCAAUGGUGAGUGUCAAUAGCAAACAGUUACUUGCUGCUUCCAAGUUGGUUUUUAAAAAGGAGGAGCUGUCCAAGACACAGUUUCAUGUUCACCGGAAGAAUGAUUGGGAUGAUGAUGACGACGACGACGACGAUGAUGCGGGCAGUGUUGCACCAGCCGCAUAGCUAUAUAUAUGUUUAUUGGCAUUGAGAGAAUUUGAGGCACUUCCCAGCCUCCUAGGAGUGAGCUUUGACACACUAGUUGAACAAUGUUGUGCUUUGGCACUAGUUGUCUCAGUUAAAGAUUGUUUUUUGUUUUUAAGGAGUUUCAAAUCGAGUACUAUUAGAACAAAAGAGAAAAACAAGUUUCUCGACUCCCUCUGCUAGCUUGUCUUGUUUUUAAUAGUACGUUGACUGAAUAUUAAUCUAAGCUUAAAGUUCAUUACAAAAUCCGAAGUUAUCUGCUUGUCUUGUUUUUUAAGUUUUUAAUGUAUAGGGCCACCAAUAUAAUAAACCACUUCAUUUUGAAAGGCCGAAUAACCAUGCAUAUUCUGAGUCUGUGAGGCAAG
rnacentral:lncRNA from 1 species